rnacentral:lncRNA from 1 species
GUAAACGAAUUACCUGCUCAUAUAUUGUUUGAUUCUGGAGCCAACUACUCCUUUAUUUCGCAUGAGUUUGGUAGAAAGCUAGCUUUGCCUGUUGAUAGACUAGAUAAUGCUUUAUUAGUCGAAGUAGCUAGUGGAAAGUUUGUACCUGUUAGCCAUCGUAUGAAAAACAUCUUAAUCGAACUUAAUGGGAAUAAGUUUCACGAGGCGUUAUUGUCUAUCGAACUUAAUGGUUUCGACAUCGUCUUGGGAAUGGAUUGGCUUAGCGCCAAUGAUGCCGAAAUUUUAUGCAAGAAAAAGAUAGUUAAAGUAAAAUACCAUUCGAAUAUCCAAGGGUAUGCAGAUGGCAUAUAACUCGAUCACAAUCAAAUGCUCAAAAGUAAAAUACUCAUACCAAUAACGAUGCAGAAUCAAAACAAUAUAUAAUCAUGCACAAAUAAAGGAACUGAAAACAGAAAUCGCAUACCUGCAACGUCCGGUGCUGAUCGCGCCUCUAAGGUAGUCAUCUGAAAAGCUCUGCCUCCCACCGCAGGUCCCUCUGCACGGCCCUGACGGCCGUCUGUGAUCCUCAAAGUUGCAGGGGCAGGUGCCAUCACCCGUCCUGCUGAAAACAAAUUGGGGCACUGGGCCUUCUUGUGGCCCCGCUGAUUGCAGUGAAAACAUAUCAAGGCUGAUCCCUGAGUCAUGGUAACAGUGUAAUCCCUGCUGAAAUGACCAGUCCAACCGCACUUGAAGUAGUAAGACUCACCGCUGCUACCACUCCUGCACGCGCCCCCGUGAACCCUGCCACACUUCCCGCAUCGGCUGCGGUCCUGAUAAUCCCUCGAUCUCGAAUCCGAUCCUUUGGGCCUUUUGCCCGAACUCGCGGCUACCUGAACCUCAUCCGGCUUCCUCUUUCGGAUCUGCUCCAAAUCAAUUUCCCUCUCCCUGGCUCGUGAAAUCAUAUCUUCCAGCGUCUUAUAGUCGGACCUGCUCACGAACUCCCUGAUGUCAGCCCUCAACAUCUCGUGAUAUCAGGCCUUCUUCAUCUCCUCAUCCGCGACAUACUGCGGUACAAGAAGAGCCCUCUCCCUGAACUUGGCGGUGAUCUCUGCCACAGUCUCAGUGGUCUGUGUCAAAUCCUGAAACUCCCGUGCCAACUGCUGCACCUCAAUAAUCGGCAAAAACUCCGCCCUGAACCUGGCUGAGAAAUCGCUCCAAGUCAUCGCGUCCAACGCAACAUCAUCCCCCAAAGCAUGACCAAUCUCCUCCCACCAAUCCCUUGCUUUGUCCUUUAGAAGACAGGAAGCGAGUCUGACCUUGUCCCCCUCAGGACCCCGGCUCAUACGGAAUGCGUUGGCAACAUCAGCCAACCAUCUGCUGCUAGCAAUAGGGUCCCUAGCCCCAUGAUAAUCUGGUGCCCCGCAAGCCCUGAACUCCCGAAAUGUCAAGGUGCGCGCUCUCAUCUAGGCCAUCAUCUCAGCACGGAAGGCUCCUAGCCUCUCAUCCAAAAUCUCCAAUAUACCCUCCUUGACCGUGCCAAAGAUCAUAGGAGUCUGAUCUAGCAUACUGCGCGCAACCUCAGCGGAUAUCAACUCCCUCAUUCGCUCCUCGAGCUACUCAGCUCCUGAACCCGAGGCUGAUCCCUCUCCGGCGCCUGAUCCGCCCACUGGUCUUUCUCGCAACGUCACCAUGCUGAAACACAUAACACAACCACUAUCGGAAUACCCAUCACUGCUACGAGACCACACACACGCACUACCGGGUUCCCAGUCUUGUCUCGGCCUUUUCCAAAUCGAGUAUGGAUCCUCUGCUUUCAGUAGUACGGGCCCAUACUACCUUCCACAUCUAUCCAUACUUUCCUCAAGAAUUGCUUUUGACUCCACCAGGUCCCUCUUCCACUACCACUGCUCCCAGCACUAUCUCAUCCUAGGCUUACCCUAGGGAAACCUCUGACUCAAAUCAAACCAGUCCUCAGCUGCUGAAGGUCUCCUUGUGAUGCCAAUUAGCCAUCACCUGGAUACCAUCACCUGUGAUGAGGCUCAGAUAAUCCUUCAAGUAAAAGACUCGUCCCUACAACGGUUGGACUCAAACAAGAGCUGCGCAAUAGAACCAAAUCCAGCACUCUGAGAUUAUUCAACCCUGAUCACAUGUGACGUGUCAUAUCCACCUAAUGGCUAACUCCCAUCACUCAGAAUUCCACAAUGCACAAAGCAAGCAGCAUUCAGACAAUGGAAAAUCUAAAAAUAACAUACUCAAGCAAUCAUAUCCACAUAGCAAGAAACUGAACUAGCAUGCAGCACAAACUCAUAGACCCACACAAAUUCAUAAACUCAGGCAUAACCUAAACGGGCUAUCCUACUACUGACUAAUCAGUACUAUCGUGCAGCUCAAAAGCACAUAUAUAUAUAUAUAUANNNNNNNNNNNNNNNNNNNNNNNNNNNNNNNNNNNNNNNNNNNNNNNNNNNNNNNNNNNNNNNNNNNNNNNNNNNNNNNNNNNNNNNNNNNNNNNNNNNNNNNNNNNNNNNNNNNNNNNNNNNNNNNNNNNNNNNNNNNNNNNNNNNNNNNNNNNNNNNNNNNNNNNNNNNNNNNNNNNNNNNNNNNNNNNNNNNNNNNNNNNNNNNNNNNNNNNNNNNNNNNNNNNNNNNNNNNNNNNNNNNNNNNNNNNNNNNNNNNNNNNNNNNNNNNNNNNNNNNNNNNNNNNNNNNNNNNNNNNNNNNNNNNNNNNNNNNNNNNNNNNNNNNNNNNNNNNNNNNNNNNNNNNNNNNNNNNNNNNNNNNNNNNNNNNNNNNNNNNNNNNNNNNNNNNNNNNNNNNNNNNNNNNNNNNNNNNNNNNNNNNNNNNNNNNNUGUAACGUCCCAAAAUUCAAGACUAAAAAUUUCUUUUAAUAAAACGUUACUUUAAGCAAAUUCAUCAUUUCAAACAUAAACAGAGUUUUAGUUUCCAAAAUACAUGUUUGUUAUCAGAGUAAACAUUCCCAGGCUGUCUAAUCUAUGGUGUGUGCCAUGCGAUCACCCCGAUCUCUUCCCUUCGCUACCGAAAGUACCUGAAACCAAAACUGAAAACCGUAAGCACGAAGCUUAGUGAGUUCCUCACCAUACCACAUACCAAAGUAUAACCACAUGCUGCACAUACUGGGCCACGCCCACUAUCCUGGGCCUCGCCCGCUACAACGGCCCCGCCGCUCCAGGCCCUACCUGGCUUCGACCCCCGCUCGGUUACAGAUCUAUUUCACUUAGGCCUCGCCUGUCAUAGGGCCUCGCCCACUAACACAUAAUAGCACAUAAACAUAUCACAUCACAUCACAUAAGCUAAACACCCACUAACGGAUCUUAUCCUAAGGCCUCGCCUAUCUUUGGGUCCCGCCCAUGUCCUGCUACUGAUGAGUCAUGGAACCCCAUCCAUACUCCUACUGAUGGUGAGGUAUGGGCCCAGCCCACCCUCACUUCAUCCCUAACUUGGGCCUCGCCCCUGAUCUGCUGCUACUGAGAUGUGGAACACCAUCCACACCCUGCUAUUGGUGAGAUACGGGACCUCGCCUACACUCACCUCCCUACCAGACACAUACGAGUAUCACACAGACAACAAGUAUAAACUAUCACAUAAACCAUUCCUUGGGCACCUGCCCUCUAUCGUUGGACCUUGUCCCGAAUAUCACACUAGCAUACAGUACCUAGGGCUAACCCCCGGGUUUUCUACUCAUAACUACAUGGGCCGGCAUUCUGGCCGUAGACCCAUUCAUAAAAAGGGAAACUCACCUGCACCGGCUGAACUGGCUGAUGAACCCACUAGCUGCUGCACGACAACUCUCUGAACUCCUGCUCCACUCACUCAUUGAGCUACCAAUAUCAAUGCAACACUAAGUCUAACUGACCCCCGAAAGACUACCAAGUCAUCUCUGGUCAAAGUCAAAGUCCUGGUCAAAGUUAACCUUCCAAGUCAACCCUACUCGCCGAGUCACCCCAGUGACUCACCGAGUUCAGAUGUUCAGAGUUCUUCUCUUUGCGACUCGACUCGCCGAGUCAGUCCAUGACUCACCGAGCCUACCGAUUUCUAAGUCCUGACCUGUCCAACUCACCGAGUCUCCAAUCGACUCACUGAUUCGAGUCUAAACUUGAAGGGUUUGGGGUUUCGCAACCAGACUCGCCGAGUCCNUUCGCGACCUAACUCGCCGAGUCCAAGAACAGACUCGUCGAUUCUAAGACAACCUUCAACAGACUCGCCGAGUUGUUCUUCCAACUCGCCGAGUUCCUGCCCAUCUUCAUCUGACUCGACGAGCUGUUCGUCCCACUCAUCGAGUUCCUCCAAAUCUUCAUGCUACUCGCCUAGUUCACUAAAAAGGACUCGCCGUGUCCAUUCAAAUCUCCAUACAUGCAGAGGACUUUUGAGUCAUGCAUGGACUCUAAACUAUAGAUCUACCCUUCCCAAGCCUAUUCCUCACGUAAAGUUGCAAACUUUAUGUGUAGAGAAGGAGAUCUAGGCAAAAUACACCAUAAACUAGGGUUUAAGGCAAAGAGGCUCCAUAAUCAACUCAAGAGCUGAAACUUUAUGCUUUCCAAGACCAAAAUACACUUAGAUCUGAAGUAGCAACUCCAAAUCCGGCUUCUAACUCAAAUGGAUCACUACUCAUGGCUAAAAGCCCCAAAACUCACAACCAAAAUAGAUCUAAAGGAAGGGAAACGACUUAAUACCUUCAGAUGUUCAUAAAUAUCUUCCCAACCUCAGAUCUCUAGCCCUCUCCUUUCACCUUCAAGAUCCUUCUUCCUUCUCCAAGCUUAAAUGCACUCCUCAAGACAAUAAUUAGCUCAAAAACGGAUAUGGCGGGGGGGGGGUGGUGGUGUGGGGNUAGAGGGGCUGUAAAGGAACCCUAGGGGAGAGAAUGAGGUGCUUAAAUAGGCCCCAAGUCCCGAAUUUAGGGUUUUCCUCGAACAGACCUGACUCGCCGAGUCUCUUUGGCCGACUCGUCGAGUCGGUCACUUACUCCUCGACCCGGAUCCCGGUUGGACUCGCCGAGUUCCUCCUUGGACUCGCCGAGUCCCCCUUAAAGUUAGGGUUUUCUUUCCUUUCUUGGUCUUCAAAACUUUGGGUGUUACAGAUUAAAGCUCAAAAAUUCAUAAGAAAAGGUUGUGAGUCAUUUUGGCAUAUGUUCUUGAUACAAGAAAAGAAAAGAAGAAAUUAGAAGAUAUUGAUGUUGUACAAGAAUUCCCUGAAGUUUUUCUAGAUGAUUUACCUGGCUUGCCACCUGAAAGGCAAGUCGAGUUCUGCAUCGAUUUAGUACCAAGUGCUACCCUAAUUGCUCGAUCUCCAUAUCGUUUCGCUCCUUUAGAGAUGUGAGAGUUGAUGUCUAAACUCCAAGAACUACUUGACAAAGGUUUUAUUGUUCCAAGUUCCUCCCCAUGUAACACCCCGAGAUUCAGGUGCAUUUCUUUCACCCUUAUUCUUUAUCGAUUGGUCAUGAUUAGUCCUUGAGUGGAGGGAAUAUAGCAAGUGAGUACGCUGGGCGUACCAGAGGGGUACACUGCGCGUACUCAUGUGCUUAAUUUGGACGCGGAGUCGCCAAUGUACGUUGGGCGUACCCAGAGUUACGCCGGGCGUACCCGGCCCAGGUGCAAAAACCCUAAUCCGUCUUGUGCACUAUUUAAAGGGUGCUAAGGCUCAUUUCUCAGCCUCCAUAUCAUUGAGUGAAACCCUAAGAGAGAGCCUCCCAUCGUCCUUAGUGUGUGAGAGUGUUGUUGGAGCUAAUUGUGCCUUGGUGGCUUAGUGAAGAAGAAGGAAAGGAGCUCUUGGAAGCUAAAGCUUAAGGUGCCAUUUUGGAUAUGAGAUCUACAGAGGAAAGGGCUACACUUGGAGGUAUAAAGUUCAAAUCUUUCCUCUCUCUUUUGGUUGUUGUUGCAUGUGCCAUUUCUAGGGCUAAAAACCCCAAAGGUGGAGACUUUAUGAGUGUAAAGUGCUCCAUGGUCCGAGAUCUGUCCCUUUUCAGUGGUAUUAGUGAUUUAGAACCAUAAAGUUUCCAUCUUGGAUGUUAGUUUGAGGUCAUGCUUGUGUAAUAAGCCUUCUAGAGUUAAAGGAUGGAACAUUAUGGGAGUUGGUGGCUUGUCCAGCCCUGCAAAGGCUUAAAGUCAUCAACUUUAUGGAUUAAGAGGCUUAGAGGUGGUCAGAUCUUGAAUUUGGACGUGGGUCUUAACUGUUUAAGACCUCAAGAGCUAAAGGGUUGAAGUUGGGGAGUACGCCGGGCGUAAUCCCAAUACGCGCCGCGUACUGGGUGGCGUUCCCCGAUUAUGAGAUGCAGCCGGGUACGCUCAGUGUACACAUCUGGUACGCGCAGCAUAACCCGAAAUGUUGACUUUUGGUUGACUUUUAGGGUAUGGUCUAUUGUGGGGCCUUUUGAGUUAUGAGAGGGGUAAAAUGGUCUUUUACCCUUAUGAGAGUGUCAUAAGAGGACAUAGUCUAGCCUUUGAGAGUUAUAUUAAAUAAAGUAUUGAUUUUAUAUGAUUAGGCGGAGGCUAGGCCAGCGUUUACCGAGUCAGAGAUUUACCGAGAUACCAGAGGUGAGUCUUCUCACUAUACUUUACCUAGUGAGGUAACAGAGUUAUGUGACAGAGUACUAUAGAGUUAUAUGCCAGUGACUUUGCAUGUUACUUAUGUGUUGUGAUUUAUUAUGAUAUGUGAUAUGCAUGAUUCAGAGUUAUAGAGUUGGGACUUUCGGGUCCCUAGAGUUAGGGCCAGAGGGCCCACAGAUAGUUGGGGCUGGAGGGCCCCACUGAGACACAUUGACCAGAGGGUCGACAGAGUUACAACCUCGAGUGACUAUUAUGUGUUAGAGUGGUAUUUUGGGGAACUCACUAAGCUUAUGCUUACAGUGUUACGUGUUAUGUGUUUCAGGUACCAGUGAUGACCGUGGGAAGGCACCGGCUUGAUUCGUACACACACACACAUGGGAUUUUAUGUAUUUUGAUCUUGGGAGAUAUUUUGUGAAACAAAGACAUGAUACUAUGACAUUUUAUGAAUGAAUGAGUUUGUAAAAAUGUGUUUGAAAAUGCGAAAAAUUGUUUUGAUUUUUACGGUGUUACACCCCAUGGGGUGCACCGAUAUUAUUUGUCAAAAAGAAAGACGAAUCAAUGUGAAUGUGUAUUGACUAUCGUGAACUUAAUAAAGUCAUCAUACCAAGGAUUGAUAACUUGUUUGACCAAUUGCAAGGAGUAGAUUAUUUUCCAAAGAUUGAUUUUUGCUUCGGAUACCACCAAGUUCGUGUAAGAGAAAGUGAUGCUGCAAAAAUGGCAUUUCGAACCCGUUAUGGUCACUAUGAAUUUUUGGUGAUGCCUUUCGGUCUUAAAAAUGCUCAUGCGGUGUUUAUGGAUCUUAUGAAUCGAGUCUGCAAAUCAUUCCUUGAUAAAUCGGUCAUCGUGUUUAUCGAUGAUAUUCUAAUCUAUUCCAAGACAAAAGAAGAUCAUAAAAAGCAUCUCCAUUAUAUAUUAUAGGUAUUGCAAGAUGACAAAUUAUAUGCUAAAUUUUCAAAAUGUGAAUUUUGGUUAUGUGAAGUCAAUUUGUUAGGCAUAUAAUAUCUCAUGCUGGAAUAAUGGUAGACCCCACAAAAAUCGAUGCAGUGAUGAAAUGGGAGCCUCCAAAGAUCCCUACUGAAGUUCGAAGUUUUCUUGGUCUAGCUGGAUAUUAUCGUCGUUUUAUUCAAUAUUUUUCUCGUAUUGCGGUACCUCUUACCAAAUUGAUGAGAAAAGAAACAAAAUUUGUUUGGGGGUCCUGAACAGGAAAAAGUAUUCUCGAUUUUAAAGAAAAAGUUAUGUGAAGCAUAAAUUCUUGCACUGCCUGAUGGAACAGAAGACUUUGUUGUGUAUAGUGACGCUUAAACAAAAGGUCUCGGUUAUGUCUUGAUGCAACGAAAGAAAGUUAUUGCAUAUGCCUCCCGACAGUUGAAAGAAGCUGAAACGAGAUAUACAACCAAUGACCUAGAACUAGCGGCUAUUGUUUUUACGCUAAAGAUAUGGAGUCAUUACCUGUAUGGUACGCAUUGCAAGUUAUACAUUGAUCAUAAAAGUAUUUAGUAUGUUUUUACCCAGAAAGAUUUGAAUAUGAGGCAAAGACGGUGGGUUGAACUAAUUAACGAUUAUGAUUGUUAAAUAAUCUAUCAUGCCAACAAGGCGAAUGUAGUUGCAGAUGCAUUAAGACGGAAAAUACCUGAAGUCCGUAUUAAAGGAAGGUCCAUGAGAAUAGAGUUGAUAUCUACUCUAUUGGAUCAAAUCAAAAUGGAUCAGAUAGAAGCAAUGAAAACUGAAAAUAUUAAACAAGAAAAGCUGCAAAAAAAAAGAUAGUAUUUGGAGAAAAUGAAUGAGGCUCAAAGACAUUUGAAGACCGAAUUUGGGUUCCCGUGUUUGGGGACACUUCGAAAAAUGGUAAUAGAAGAAACAGAUAAAUCUAAGUCCUCCAUUUAUCCUGGGAGUACAAAGACUUACAGAGAGUUGAAAUAGAUGUAUUGGUGGCCUAAUAUGAAGCCAAACGUGGCCAAAUAUAUAUCAGAAUGUUCAACAUGUGCUCAAGUCAAAUUUGAGCAUCAGGCCUCGUAUGGAUAGUUAUAAUCUCUUCAAAUACCAGCUGGAAAAUGGGAUAAAAUCACUAUGGAUUUCAUCAUGGGGCUACCAAGGACUAGUCAGGGACAUGAUGUCAAUUGGGUUAUUAUUGACUGCUUGACAAAAAUUGUGUUGUUUUUAGCAAUAAGGGAAACAACUCCUUCAGAGAAACUAGUGAAGUUGUAUGUCGACGAAGUUGUAAGACUUCAUGAGUUCCUUUGACAAUUGUAUCAGACAGAGAUGCCAUAUUUACUUCUAAAUUUUGGCGAGCUUUACAAAAAGAACUGGGAACAAAAAUCCACCUAAGUACAACAUAUCAUCCUCAAACUGACGGUCAAAGUGAACGCACAAUUCAGAAUGUUGAAGACAUGUUGCGAGCAUGUGUUAUCGAUUUUAACAAGUGGAACGAGCAUCUUCCACUAGUGGAGUCCACCUAUAAUAAUAGCUACCAUUUGAGCAUUAAAAUGCCCCCAUAUGCGGCAUUGUAUGGGAGAAAAUGUAGAACACCUUUGUGUUGGCUCGAAGCAGGCGAGAGAAAGCUUAUAGGUCCAGAAUUGGUAAGAAUUACCAAUGAUAAAAUCGUUCAAACGCACAUGAAAGCGGCUCAAGACCGACAAAGAAGUUAUUCAAAUUUAAAGAAAAGGCCAUUUGACAUGAAUCCUGGUGAUUUAUUAAUGUUGAAAAUAUCACCAUGGAAAGGCGUAAUGCGUUUUGGAAAAAAGGGUAAAUUGAGUCUAAGGUACAUCGGACCAUUCAAAAUAUUGAAAAAGGUCGGGUCUCAAGCUUUUAAACAAGAAUUACCACCAGAGCUUAAUGGAAUACAUGAUGUAUUUCAUGUAUGUUACUUGAAAAAGUAUCUUGGAAGGAACAAUAAAAUUAUACCAUUGAAAGAUGGGAAAAUGGAAUAUCCUAAUCGAUUGGUAGAAGCGAUAGUUGGAUCCCAAAUCAGAAAAUUAAGAUAUUAGGAAAUUGAACUUGUGUUAGUUCAAUGGAAGCAUUCCUUAGGUCCAAAUCAAACGUGGGAGAUGAAAGAUGAAAUAAUGAAGCGUUAUCCUCAUUCAAACGAAGGUUCUGAUACCAACUUGUAACAUCCAUAAAAUUCAUAAAAAUUAACUUUUUCAAGCAUCCAAAAACCAUUAUUUAUUAUAAAAAGUUUUCAAAAUUAUUUCAUAUAAGAGAAUCUCAGGAAUCAAAAUCAUAAAAUACGAGGAGGUACACUAUAAUGAGCGUAAAAUAAAUAAAGAACUCAAAUUAUGUGUUUCAACAUGUAUUUUGUUUAAAUAUAUGUGAACUCGAGAAGUGAAAUAGUAACAUUUUUUAUAACACAAUAUGCAUAUCGAUGUACAUAUUGCAUCAUAACUAAAAAUGUAGAAUACUUCAGUAUGGAGGUCAUUAUAUGAAAGUAGUUGACUUAAUAUGAAUUUGUGGAUACAAAAUAAUCGAAAUCCGAAUUCCUACAAUAAAUCUAUGGAGAAUUUUUAAACUUAAGGAUAUGAUGUGUCUAUUUGAGAAGAGACAAGGGACCACUAAUAUAAUAUGGAGGAUAUGUUAUGUCAAUAGCAUAGGAGGUGAAGGAUAAAACUUGUAAAUAUGGAUCAAAUAACUUGUGAAUGCGUAACGUCAUGAACAGGUGGAUGGUAAACUCUUAUUUGAUACAUCACACAUGUUGGUAAAUUAGGAAGUUAAGUAUCUAGUGAAACUGCCAAAUAUCCACGUGCAGGUGCAGCCGAUAACUUUUUUUCUUUUUGUUCUAGCUCGUCAAUUUCGUUUCGUUUUUUUUUUUUUUUUUUAUGUAACAAAGAAAUAGAGAGAGGCAGAUAGUACAGACAGUAAACACUCCAUUUCCUACUUCAAAUUGAAAAAAGGAAUACAGUCAAGAUUUAUUGUUUUCUACUUACGCUAAAGGUAUUUAAACGUAUUUUUAUUUAUUUGAUAUUAUUUAAUGGAUUUUUGAGUUUCAUAAGAAGCUUAGAAUCUUAUAACCAACUGCAUGUUAAAAAAAUAUAUAAAUAAAUAUACAUUUGCAUAUUCAUCGAUUAAAUUAUUAAACAUGUCUAAGUUUAAAUAAACAUGUUUAAUAUAAAUUGGUGGAUUUGAUCUUUUUCGUCAAACGUGAAUAUUGAAAGUUUGGAAAUAGGAUGCGACAUAUUAUUUUGGAAUUUAUCUAGAUUUUUGACUAAUACAAUUCAAUAUUAUAUUGACAUACAUAAGAAUAAUCAAGAUUUAAUUAGAGGAAUUCUAAAGUGCUAGUUAGAAGCAUAAUCGUUUAUGCACAAGGAUUAUAAGUUGUUGAAUUAUUGCAAUGGAUUAAUUUAUUAGGAUUGAAGGAAAGGAUUGCUCAACAACGUGAUAAUAAAAAUAAAAGUUAAUCAACCUAGAUUUCUUUAAGGUGAGUUAUAAAACCUUGUAAAGUAGGAAUACAUGGCUUGUAUGUUGUGCUUAAUGAAAUAAGUGCUUAUUAAAUCUGUUGGCACUUAGAAUGUACUGUUCAAUUGAUUAUAUAGUUGUAUUGUGUUGUUACAUAAAUAUUAAGUAACACAAGAAAAGAUAAAGAGAAAAGAUAUUGCAAGCUUGCCAAGGGUUCUUAUGGACUAAGACGAGACCAAUUUGGAUGAUUUGUUCUCCAGUAUGGAUAACCGUGAAUUAUUGACGGGACCAUAAUAUGGAUAGCCGUAAAUUAUUGGCGGGGCCAUAAUAUGGAUAAUCGUAGUUAUUGAUGAGACUAUAUUUCGGUCGUUAUGAUUUAUAGUAAUUUAAUUAUUGCAUUAAAUUAUAACUCACCAGACAUGUUGUUUGAUAAUUGUUAUGUUCCAUAUGUUCCAGGUUCAGGUACAAAACCUUAGUACGAGUGAUGAUAGUGACAACAAGAGUAUGGAUUGGAUAUAGAUUUUGCACCUAGUAAUCUUGUUGCUUUAAUUAUGGUUUUGAUAUAGUUGUACACCCACUAAUUUUCUUGGAAAAAUGUUAUAUGGUUUUUGGAAACUUUGGUUUAUAAAUGAUAUUAUAUAAUACUCUGAUAAAUUUCCAUAAAAUAACAUUAUAAUAUAUGCAAAAAGUUUUGGGUGUUACAUGCACAAUAAAGCCUUCGCCUUUCUACGAUUAUCCGAAGUACCUGAAACAAAAUCCAAAACUGUAAGCCUAAAGCUUAGUGAGUUCCUCCAAAAUACCGAUACAUAACAAAUAGCACACAUAAUAACAUGUAAUGGGUCCACAGUUUCAUAGACUGGAUUAACCACGAGCCCAAAGUAUAAGUCUAGCUUUCCUUACAGGCCUACAGCUCACAUCUGGCUUGCACCCAAGCCCACAACUUAUGAUUGGCUUGUCCCUUCAGUCAUAAGACUGGAAUAUAAAUGAUCGGCCCUUAGUGCGAGUCUGGCAUGCUCCUAUGGCCCUCAGCUUGCAUUUGGAAUGCUUAGAAGUCCUCAAUAUGAGUUUGGCAUGCUCUCCCUGACCCUCAACUCAUAUCUGGCAUACUCCAGGGUUUGUUGGUUACCGCAUGAAGCAGUACAACCUCAACCCUACCCACACAACAUGCCGACAUGUAAUAGUUAAAUACAUAUACAGCUAAUCACACAGUACCACAGGUAGUCCUACAGAUCUACCAAACUAGCAUAUCAAACUAGCAUGCAUAUCUAAAUCAUACUCAGCAUAUCAACAACUACCAGGAUAUCAAUCCAGUGGGUUGGCCUUGGUGCCUUUGACCUCUAAGUAUAAUGAGGGAAACUCACCUCACAAGUAGUGCUGAACCGAUCAAAUCCCAACUCACAGCUCCAAACUCAAUUGCCUGUAACCACCAUAUGACUAAUUCCAUUAAAAUCCCAAAUUACCGAAAUACCCUCAGAAGCCAAACUUUGUCAACCAUGGUCAAAGUCAAAGUCAACAGUCAAGGUCAACAACCCAUGUUGACCCAACUUGUUGAGUGCAUCUACCGACUCGUCGAGUGCAUCUACCGACUCGUCGAGUUCCUUCAUAUCUCAGAAGAUCGUGAAGAGAUCGAGAUAACUUGCCGAGUUGCCAGAGCAACUCGUUGAGUUCUUUAGUGUCCGGAAACCGAGGAAAAACUCAACCAACUCGUCGAGUCAUCCCAUCAACUCAUCGAGCUCAAUCAGUAUCCAGAAAGCGGGAAACCCUAUCCAACUCGUCGAUUUGGCUAAGCAACUUGUCGUGUUUUCCUGUCUUAAUGUAUUCAGCCCUUUCCAGUCGAAUCAAAGGCCCCAAACUACAGAUCUAGCCCCUUAGGACUAAGAUACCACGUAAAGUUGCUAACUUUACAUGCAUGCAAGGCAUCAAAGGGAUUAAAUCACUCAUAUGAAGCUUAUUAUGGGUUUUAGAGUAUGAAGGAGGGCCAAUACUUAAUAAAGUUGGCAACUUUAAGUCUAAGGAGGCCCUAAGAUGCUCAGAUCUGAAGUCCUAGCUUCAAAGCAUGCUGAAAAACCAAGAAUGAUUCAAGAAUAAGCUAGAAAUUACCAUAAACUCUCUAAUGGAGAGAUCUAACAAAGGAGUGAUCAAGAUGGCGACUUUUUACCUCCAAAUGGUUGCAAAAACAGUGAAGCUUCUGGAUCUAAAGCCUUCUACACAAUCCAAUCUCUUCAAGCUUCUAGUUUCCUCUAAAAGAGCACAAGAUUUACUCUCCAAAGCUCACACACACUCAAGAAAGUAAUAAAGCACGACUAGGGUUUCUCUCUAGACAAUAAGGUGGUGAGGGAGGCCGGUGAGGGACUUAAGGUCCUUUAAAUAGGGCGCCAACCCUAAAAUUUAGGGUUUUCAUGCACAGCCUCAACUCGUUGAGUUAGGAUCCUCUAACUUGUUGAGUAGGUUUCGUAAUCCAUGCGGCCUUAUUAAUUUCUACACGACGAGGUAGGGCCUCCAACUCGUCGAGUAGGUCAUAUGUGAUGUACAAAAAUUCUUAAAAUUCAUGCCUGGGAGUUAGGAUGUCACAAUUUUCCCCCACUUGAACUAGACACCGUCCUCGAAGUCGGCUGUGGUGAACAACUCUAGAUAAUGCUUCCGCAUCUCAGUCUCCGGCUCCCAAGUCCACUUGAAUCCCCUCCGAUACUCCCAUUGUACCUUUAUCAAAGGUAUCUCCUUGUUACACAGAAGCUUCACCUUUUUUGUAGAACGGCCACUGGCCUCUCCACGUAAUUCUGGCACUCAUCGACCUGAAUAUCAUGCAAUGAUGCAACUAUAUCCUCAUCCAAUAUGCACUUUCACAAUUGCAAGACAUAAAAAUUGUUGUGAAUCUGACUGAGCUCCUUUGCAAGAUCCAGUCUAUAUGCUACCUUGCCAACCCUAGAAAUAAUCUGAAAGGGUCCAAUGUAUCAGGGACCCAACUUCCCCUUCUUCCUGAAGCGAAUCACAUCCUUCCAGGGUGAGACCAUCAGUAGUAUCAUGUCACCCACCUGAAACUCCAAUUCAGACCGGUGUCGGUCGGCAUAACUCUUCUGCUGACUUUGAGCAGUCUGCAAUCACUUCCUGAUCUGCAAAAUCAUCUCGAUAGUCUGAAGAACCACCUCGGUCCGACCCAUCACCAUCUGACCAACUUCACCUCAACAGACUGGGGUACGACAUCUCCGUCCAUACAACAGCUUAAAAGGCGGAGCACCAAUGCUAGAAUGAAAGUUGUUGUUGUAGGAGAACUAUGCAAUAGGUAGGUAGGAGUCCCAGCUCCUACCAAAGUCAAUAACGUAGGCCCGCAACAUAUCCUCGAGGGUCUGUAUGGUCCGCUCACUCUGGUCGUCUGUCUGCGGAUGAUAAGCUUUACUGAAAUGCAGUCGAGUGCCAUGUUCCUCGUGGAACUUCUGCCAGAAACGAGAGGUGAAUCGAACCUCACAGUCUGAAACAAUAGAGACUGGAACCCCAUGGCGAGAAAUGAUCUCGUGAAUACACACAUCGGCCACCAUCUCGGCCGAUGAUCUCUCCCGAAUGGGCAGAAAAUAGGCACUCUUGGUCAAUCUAUCCACGAUGACCCAAAUAGCGUCGAAACCCUUUGUCGUACUCGACAAUUUGGUGAUGAAGUCCAUCGUGAUAUGUUCCUAUUUCCACAUGGGGAUCUCUAGAGUCUGCAACUUGCCAUGUGGCCUCUGAUGCUCAACCUUGACCAUCCUACAGGUCAAGCACCUCUCGACGUACCACGCGAUCUCCCUCUUCAUACACAGCCACCAGUAACUCAGUCGCAGAUCUUAGUACAUCUUGGUGGCCCCUAAGUGAAUAGAGAAGCAAGACUUAUGAGCCUCCUCCAGUAUAAUCUGUCUGACCCCACCAGACAUCGGAACCCAUACCCGAUCACAGCGGGUCAACAAUCCCUGACUAUCCUGCAUGAAUCUGUUGUUCUCGCCCCUAAUCCUCUCCAACUUCUAAUUCUCCUGUCGUACACCCUCGACCUGAUCUCCCUUGAUCAAGCUCACAAGUGGAGAAUCCUUUGAUAUCCUCAUACAUGUCGCUGAAAUAGAACAUCCAUCCGACUUAGCUCAGGGCAUCCGCCACAAUAUUUGCUUUACCCAGUCGGUAAAGUAUCUCGCAUUCAUAAUCCUUGACUAAGUCCAGCUGCCUGUGCUGCCUCAUGUUCAGGUUCGGAUGAUCCAUGAUAUGUCUCAAACUCUUAUGGUCUGUGUAUAUGGUACAACGGACCCCGUAGAGAUAAUGUCUCCAAAUCAUGGGAGCGAAUACCACCGCUCCCAACUCUAGAUCGUGUGUGGGAUAUCUCAUCUCAUGCGACUUCAGCUAUCGUAAAGCAUAGGCUAUCACCCGUCCGCCCUGCAUGAGGACUGCUCCUAAUUUGGUGAUCGAUGCAUCACAGAACACCACAAAAUCCUCAACUCCCUCAGGGAGUGUCAAAACUGGCGCCUCGGAAAGUCGCUGUCGCAAGGUCUCAAAUACAGUUUGCUGCUCAGGGCCCCAGCAGAAAUCCACCGCUUCCUCGUCAUACGCCAAAUAACCCGCACACGUGUGCUAAAUGUACUGACGAGCCCCGGUGGCUGAGCAAAACCCUGAACCCAACCUGGUGCCCUCACCAUAUAUAACCAACUCUCCCCCACUUAGGGUUCAAACUACCACACGCUGACCCUCGCAUUCGAUCAUGACACCGCAGCGAAUCAGCUAGUCCAUACCCACUUUCACACAAACUUCCUGCACGGGAAUCGAAAUCAAGUCAAUCAGAAAGGAAACCCCGAAGAUCUCCAGUUCGCAACUGCAAUAGACUGAAGACACAGAAUUCCCAUGUUUAUUGGCGAUGGAGACUCGUAAUGGACACUCUAGCUCUCCUAAAGGCAAACCGAACUCCCUACUAAACGAUCAAGAGACGAAUGACCGACUCGCCCCCGAGUCAAAAAAUACCAAAGCAUGAAAGGAGUUCACUAUGAAUGUACCUAACAUAGGUACAACAUAUAUGAGCAUUAAAUAAACAUAAUCAAUAAGAUAAGGGAUAGGAACAUACUGGCCACCACAUCUGGUGCUGUCCUGGCCUCCUCGGCAGUGAGCUAGAACGCAUGUCCCUAAGCCAUUGGGGGCUCUGCUCUACCCUGGAUCUCGUUAGUGACCUCAAUGUAGCUGGUGUGGGAUCCUAUGUCGGCUUAGCGGCGAGCACCGGACAGUUCGUCUUCACAUGGCCAACCUGAUCACAAUGGUAGCAUAUCCUCAUACUCGGAAUCGGGUCGGAACCGAGGAGGACUGACGACAGUCCCUCACAUAAUGCCCAUCCAUGCCAUAUUUGUGGCACCCGCUACCAGAUCGACAAACCCUAGAAUGAGCCUUCCCGUACUUCCCAUAAGUGCGGUCACGCUGACCUCCAGACCUGGAAUCAGCGGUCUUGGACCACUUCGGUGUCGGCUACGACUGCGUUGUGGCCUACCUCUGCUCUCUCAAUUGUAGCUCAAUCUCAAGCUGAAGCCGCCUAGAGGCCUCCUGUAGCUCCAGUAAUGUAUCACAAUGCUGGGUAGCAACAAACUGUCUGAUUUCGGUCUUGAGCAUGCUUAGAUAACAUGUCAUCUGAACCUGCUCGGAAGCAAACUUCGGGCAAAACACCACCCUAUCAGUAAACAUACAGGUGAUCUCCGUCACCGACUCAAAUCCCUGUCUCAAAUCAAAAACUCCUAUGCCAGCCGCUCUCGCUCAACCCGAAGAAUGUAGCAAGUUCAGAACAUCUCCCUAAGCUGAUCCCAAGUAACCAUAACUCUCUGCUCAUCAGAAUACGACCCCGCCAUCAAUCUCCACCAAUCCUUCGCUUCGCACCUCAGCAUGUUCAGAGCACACCUGACCUUAUGGUAAGUAGGAAAUGAGCAUGUGAAAAAGCAUCCCUUAAUGUCAGAUAGCCACCUCAUGGCUAUGAUUAGGUCCUGAAUCCCAUCGAAAGUCGGGACUUCGUGUUAUCGAAAUCUCGGUACUGAAAAGCCCGAACUGGCCCCAUACCUGCAGCUGCUACGGCUGCAGAGGCUGCAGUGGCGUCCGUCUCAGUUAUGACUGCAUAGUGUUCAUCAAAGUACUCGACCAUGGUGGUCUUGAUAGACCCAAACAUCUCCAAUAACUGUGCCUAGAAUAGUACAACAAUCUCAUCGUGCAGGAUCUCCUAAAUCCUAGCAUCCAACUCCUCCGGUCUCAUCUGACCAGUUGUCCCUGUCACUGCUGUUGGCCUGCCCUGACUGCCAGCUCCUGAUCCUGAUCUGGAUCUGAUCUCAAAUCGCGUCGUAGUCACCAUUCUGAAAUUACGCCUGAAAUAUAUUAGAUACUCCAUAUAUUAAUAGGGAACGAACUCCUAACUAAACCCUAAGGGUUGUGGCUUCCUUGCUACACGUAUGGGUCUUGUGCUUUCAGUAGUACGGGCCCAUACUACCUUCCACACCUACCCAUAUUUGUCUCAAGGAUCAUCACAACAUCGUAACAGUGUACAUAAGCAUAGGCGAGCGCUCAAUCCUCACUCCUAGAGGAAGGCUAAAUAUCUCACAACUGGCCGACUGACCCCACACGACUGAUCCAUGAAACUUCCACCAAACCUGCAGCACUCGUGUAUGCUAGCAUUACAUAACGUUGGACCCCAUAGACAUUUGAAUAUCUAAUCCUACCCUAAGAUCUUCAUCAAACAAGUACAUGAAAUAAGGCCAAACCGAACAUUCUCAGCCUAUAAGGUCUUAGUUAUGUACACUAUGAUGUAUACUGUAACAUCCGGAUAUCCAGGUAUGGGAAUUUGAGUAAUUUAUAUUGGGGAAUGAGGAGACUCGGCAAGUUGACGCCUCAACUCGUCGAGUAGGAUCGCGUUUUGGCGACCAGUUUAAUGAAGGGACUCGACGAGUCGAGUAUAUGGACUCGCCGAGUCGGCGCUGUCAAGGAAAACCCUAAUUGUUCGGGUUUGGGACCCAUUUAAAGGCCCUUAUGGCCUUCAGUGGCAGCCACCUACACCUUUGAGAGACUCCUAUCGAACCAGAGAGCUGAGAGAGUGAAGAAGAGCCAUUUUAGAGCAUUCUUGAGGUGGUUGUGAAAUGGAGUACUCAUUUCCAGCAAAGGGAGGUCAGGGGGUGUNUCAUUUCCAGCAAAGGGAGGUCAAGGGGGUGUCGAUUCAGAGCUUCUGAGCUUGCAUCUUCACCAUAGAGGUAUCAAAUCGUUCUCCCUUUUCUGUUUUGGGUAAGAUUGGUGAUUUUAGGGUUUUCUAGCUUCUUUUAUGGCUUGAUUUGUGGAGUAUAGUGUCCCAUUGAGUGUGAAGCCAUAGAUCUGGACCCAAAGAGGUCCAGAGAGUCCCUUCCAUCCUGCUUUAUGCAUUCUAUUUGGAGUUUUGAGCUAGGGUUGUUAUGUAAUGAAGGGUUUCACCCAAAUGAGCUUGUAGAACCUUGCAUGAGUGCCCAAGGUUCGACCUUUUCGUGGUUAUUGGCUUUGAGGGAGUUAGAUCUAUGGUUUGGUGAAGCAGAUCUGACCUCAGAAGGUCAGAUGAGGGUUGUCAUGGGAGCAACUCGCCGAGUCCAUAGGCAAACUCGACGAGUCGAGUCGGGGUUGCCCCGCGUUUCGUUGCCGAGUAACUCGACGAGUGGAGAGGGAACUCGUCGUGUCUAAGAGGUUUAAAAAGGAUUUAGAGAACCCGCAUGGACUCGCCGAGUCACUCUUGUGUACUCGCCGAGUCUGGUCAGUGUUGACCGUUGACUUGAGUUGUCUUAUGUUGGCUUUGGGAGUUUUGGUCAACAGAGGUAAUAGAGGUCAGGGAGGGGUAAAAUGGUCUUUUACCCAUUACCUGACUAGAGAGGGAAAGAGUAAUCGCCGGUUAAUUAGAGUUGGGAAUUCAAGUAUUAAUUAGAGAUAUUUUCCUUAUGUGUUAAGCGGUGGCGAGUCCGAGGUUCGCAUGUGCAAAUAAUUGCUUUCUGAUUGCCAGGUGAGUUUUCUCACUAUACUUUACCUUGAGUAGGUAACCAGAGUUAUGUGACAGAGUAUUUGUAUGCUAUGUAUGUUAUGUGUUGUACUGCAUUAUUUCUAUGUGAUUUAUGUUGUGCAUGUUUACAGAGUUAGAACCGGAAGGUUCCCAGAGUUAGAACCGGAAGGUUCACAGAGUUAGAACCGGAAGGUUCACAGAGUAGGGUCCACGGACCCACAGAGUUAUAGCCUCGAGUGGCUAAUAUGUGUUAUGUGUGGUAUUUUGGGGAACUCACUAAGCUUCGUGCUUAUAGUGUUUUGUGUUAUGUGUUUCAGGUUUCUCUCAGGAUCAUGGGACGGCACCGGCUCGAUUGUACACACCAGAGAAAGAGUCAUGUUUUGAGGAUCCUAGUUUAUUAUGCAAGUGAAAAUGGAGUCAUGUUUUGUAAUUUGAUUAUGAAUGGGAUUUCAAGAAAAGUAUUUUUUUUAAGAAUCAAACGAUUAUUUUUAAAUGAAAAUUGUUUUGAAAUUUACGGUGUUACAAGUUGGUAUCAGAGCCUUGGUUUGAGGGAUUCAGAUGCACCUUCGGGUAAAUCUGGACUCAAACUGAGGAUUUAAGACAAUUUUUCAAAAAGAAAUGUCUUUUUAUAAAGCGAAUAAGAGUUUCAAAGAGCAAGCAAAAAGAGCAGUGUGUACAAUCAGCUAGAGCCGGAACGGUGAUUUCCCAAAACACCCUUAUUUGGUGUUAUGAGAUAUUUGUGAUACAUUUUAUGAGAUAUUAUGCAUGCUAGAGACAGGCUAGGCAAUUCAUAUUUUAGGACUAGAGUGGCCUGAUUUGUGAUGCCUUAGCCUAGGGGUGCUGUUAUAUGUGAUGUGCUGAGCGAGAGUGUCCAGCAGGAAAUUUUUUAGGGGAUUCGAGUAGGGGAGUAAUAUGAAAGAGGUAUCUAUAUGAGCAUAUGAGGAGCUUGCCGAGAGGGUAGCCAGAUGCCCAUGUGGGGCGGAGUUGUUAGAGUUCAGUGAUAUCCAUCACGUAUGAGGAAAGCGAGUGGAUAAUAACCUAAGGAGGUUUUUUUGUGCUGAAGGGGAUGCUUCAAUGCCCGAAUGUUGUUUGCUUCGUGCUUUGUGGAGCUCUCAAUGAUGGGAGUCAGCUACUAAGUGAAUAUGACGAUAUUCAGGAGGUAGAUGGCUGGCAUCAUUAGGAGUUCUUCAGCAGCUGAUGGCAUAGAAGUGUGGGAAUCUAGGAAGAGCCUAGGGAGUAACCUUAGCCAGAUGAGUGCGCUGGCAGAGUAGAGAAUUUCAUUAGGGAGCGAGCACACACGACGGGAUUGGUGAACAAAAAGGUCGAGUAGCUACUUAGGAGCUCCGGAAUAGUCUGUGUGGAAAGUAUGGGUAGAUGUGGCAGGUAGUAUGGGCCCGUACUACUGAAAGCAGAUGACCUAUACUUGAUACAGGGAGUAUUCUGAAGGUUCUAAGGAGUGGAUUGAGGAGUUAUGUUAUGGUUCGAGUACCAUACAUCGGAGCGGAUCGAUGAGUGAUGUUAUGGUUCGAGUAUCAUACAUCGGAGCGGAUUGAGGAGUUAUGUUAUGGUUCGAGUACCAUACAUCGGAGCAGAUUGAGGAGUGAUGUUAUGGUUUGAGUACCAUACGUCGGAGCGGAUGGAAGAGUGAUGUUAUGGUUCGAGUAACAUACAUCGGAGUAGAUGGAUGAGUGAUGCUAUGGUUUGGGUACCAUACACCGGAGCAUAUUGAGAAAAUAUGUCAUGGAAUGAGUACCAUGGUUCGUAGUGAAUGAUGCUUGUGGUUCUCCGGUUAUCCGGUCAUGAUUGAUGAGGUAGAGAUUGGACGCUAUGGGUUUUAGGCCUGUGGGCCAUGAUUGAGUUCGAAGAGGCGUCCCUUGAGAGGGAGGUCGAGAGCCUUUCAGAGUAUUUUGGUAAGGAGUCAGAGGGAGGGGAGAAUUUCGGUCUGAGUUGAGCAAUCAGUCGAUAGAGGAGAUGUCACCUCCUAUGACCUGGGUGGUGCUAUUUAUGUUCGUGUGCAAAACAUGAGAGGCAUGAUGUUUAAGUUUUGGGUUUGGGGGUAAACCCUGCAGGUUGUCAUUGAUGAUGAUUUUCCACCAAAGUAUCAGGUAGCAUGUGUGCCGCGAGACAGUGAUUUAUCAUGAGCAGAUAGUCAGUUGGGACUGAGAUAGUCGAGGACCACGUUACACCUAUUUGAGUAUAUUAGGGCGUAUUGUAGUGGUAUCAGUGGGGAGUCCAGUCGAGUUUAUCAGUGCAGUGGUUUUUCUAUCUAUGUUGGGUAUUGAAUAUGGGAGUGGGUCCUUGUUCUUGGGAUGAUGCAUGUGUUGGAACGUUGGUUAAUGAGUCGAGGCGGGGGAGUUUGAUGAUUUCGUGGUUCAGUGUAUGAGUCAGUGAUGUUAUUGGUCAGUUGAGUUGUUUGGUAUUGGAUUGGUACGAGACUAGGAACGACUAGAGGCAGUCGUGACGAGAAGUUAUUGAGGAUUUCAUCUGAGGUUCAGAGUAUAUGAGAUCGAUUGAUUUCCUUAAAGGGGAUUAUCGGGCGUUACGUAGCACUUUCCAGGGGCAGGUGCGAUUUUGCUGGUAAAAAUAGUUUGUGGGAUGGUUGUGUGCCAAUUGGUGAUGGUUCGAACCCUGAGUGGGGGAUAACCGGGUACCGUAUAGAAGAAAGCAGAGAUUUGUCACGAGCGGUUAUAAAGGGGGUAUAGAGAUCUGUGGUAAGAAUUCAUGAGACCAGAGUUAUUGGUGAUCGAGGAAAGGGUCAGAGUAAGCUAAUACAGGAAGUACUUGUUUGAGAAGGAUGAAUGUCUCCACGGCAGGUGGUCAUUGGUCAGGAACCUGGUAGUGGUCAGGGUCGUUGCAAGUAGGUAAAGAAUGAUUGAGCAGCCAACUCCAGGGUCGGUAUGCAUAUUCUUGCUUGGAUUUUGAGCGGCAGGAAAAAGGGUUUCUGAGAAUUAUCAGUGUAUUCCAUAGCGUUAGCGUUUUCUCGUGUUCCGGUUGAGUAUUUGGAUACAUCGAAGUUACGCAUUGGGAAAAUUUAAGAUUUAAUUAUGGGGUUCAGAGGAAAUGUAUUAUUGUAUCUAUAUGAUGCUUGGGGCAGGAGAUCAGUGGUUGUGGUAGGAUCUUGUGAUGUUCUGUUGGGGUGUUCCGAGGUAUCCGGGUAUGAUAUCUUGAUUUCGGAGUUAUUCGAGAAUCUUGAGUUGAGACGACUUGUGGUGUAUCAAGUAUCUAUGGUUCCAGUGGGAGCCUUGGGAGUUGUCAUUAGGAAGGAUUAUUUAAGAAUGUGAAUUUUCUAAAGAAAGAGGUAUUUUAUUAUGACAAUUGUCGUCAUAAUUUAUGAUGCAUAAUUGGGGCAAGUGUGCGUAGAUAUCUAUGAUAGUCCGCGGAGCAUGAGCUAGUGGACAUAGUGUGGUGUGGUAUGAGAAUUAGAUUAUGGGGUAAUGGGAGAGAGUGUUGUGAUGCUACGGGGAGCCGUAGUAUUCACUAGUCAGAGAGUGUUGUGAUGCUACGGGGAGCCGUAGUAUUCACUAGUCAGAGAGUGUUGUGAUGCUACGGGGAGCCGUAGUAUUCACUAGUCAGAGAGUGUUGUGAUGCUAUGGGGAGCAGUAGUAUUCACUAGUUAGAGGAUGUUGUGAUGCUACGGGGAGCUGUAGUAUUCACUGGUUAGAGGGUGUUGUGAUGCUACGGGGAGCCGUAGUACUCGCUGGUCAGAAGCUUUUGGUGAUGUUGAGGAGCCGUAGUAUUCUAGGCGGCAAGAGAGUGUGAUGAUGAAGUGUUCUCCGAUCAGAGUAUGACGCAGAGGAGUUUUAGGCUCGAGUAGCCUAGUAUCGAGUUGUUGGAGCUUGGUGGUUAGGCGAGGGGCGAGACGGGGGUCUCCUUCUCUCUCGGGAAUUAUUAUAUUUUGAGUUGAGUUGAGCUGUGUUUGUCGCAACAUGAGGAAAUUGGGAAAUGGUAUUCGUGCGGGGCGUAGGGUGAGUCAUGAGACCAAUGUUUUAUUGGGACGCGAGGUUUCAACUUUGGGUCGGACCCAAAACUCUCGAGUUGAGUUUGGAUUUGAUAGUAGGAGGAUAUCGAGAUGAGAUUCUAGACUUCUGAGGUAAAUUCUCGGAUGGGAGGUAUUGUUAUCGUCGGAUAUUUUUAUCUGUAUAGGUCAGUACUCGGGUGCAAGAGAUAUCGCGAGAUGCACAGGAGAUGUGUGCAGCUAACAUCCGAGGUCGGGGUUGAGUUGAUCUUUGGUUGGGUUGCAGUCCUUGUAUGAGUUAAUGAGAAUUUCAUGACUGGUGUGCCAUUAGGCUGACAUAGUUGAUGCGAGGAGGAAUUCGGUGAGACAUUUUGGAUCAGGAUUAUGGGUAACCAUGGAGGUUUAAUUUUUUAGGCUGAGGUCAGACCUCGUGUGGUGUUAAAAGAGAUAUGGAAUUUAGAGCGAAGGUGUCACACCCCAAAACCAAGAACGGUGGAAACGUUCCGGGGUGGAGGACGUCAUGUACAGUAUCACAACAGUGUAAAAUAGUAAACAAGCAACAACAUCAUCCAUUGCAUUAUAAGUAAAGUUUUAAUACAUGUGUGUUCUUUCAUUGUAAUAAGACACCAAAAAUAUACAAUCAAAAUAAAAGACGAGACUUGUCUGCUCCGUCUUCUCAAAACCCGGCCUUCGUACCUGUCUACUGAUGACCUGAGAAUACAAGUUAUUUUGAAAGAGAGUAUCAGCUUUAAAGCUGGUGAAUUCAUAAGUAUUUAAGUGUCAUUGUCUUUCUUACUAAAAGCUGUUUUUAAAAGUCAUGUAAACCUUUAAAAGAAAAUGUUGAUGUAAGUAUGAAAAGCCCUAGAAAAACCCUUAUUUUCUAUCAGUGUGAGAUGUAGUCUUCUACCAAGACCCGAAUGUUUUGUUAUGAUAAUGUAGUCUUCUACCAAGACCCGAAUGUUUUGUUCUGAUGAUGUAGUCUUCUACCAAGACCCGAAUGUUUUGUAAGUGAAAUGAUAGUUUUUCCUUUCUAUUGACUAGUACUAAAGUACUUAGUCUAACUCAUCGUUUAUGUGAAAAUAUCACAAAAUAAAGUAAACAGGAAAAAGCAUAAUCAUGUAAGUGUUAUCCCUGGGUGACCAGGAUUAACACGACAUCGCCGAAGCGAAAGGUAUACCCUAUGAACAUCCGAAGAUUGUCCCCUCACCCUCUGUAGCGGCAGCAGGGUGGAGGGAGGGUUAGUCCCAUAACAGCGUUAACCUAAUGAUCAUCCGAAGAUUUUCAUCUCAUCCUCUGUUGUAACAGGAGAUGGAGGAAUGGUUAGUUCCGUAAUUGACUCCUAAUAUCAGAAACAACCCUAGACAUCCGUAGAUGUUCAUUACCCAGUGUUGCUAACAGCUGGGUGCCGGAAUGGUUAGUCCCGUAUAGACAUCCCAUUGAACUGGGAUAGGCAGGAAAAAUUUACAUAGAAGGUACGAAUAAAUCUUCCAAAUAACUCUAGGUACAAGUAUCCAGGUAAGUGAAUACAGGAUAAUGUAUCUAAGUAACAGUAUUCAUGUAUGGUAUUCAUGUAAGCAUAUUCACAUAAAUGUAGUUAUGUAAACGUACUCAUGUAUCAUGUAAUCCUAGGUAAUUGUACUCAUGUAUCAUGUAAGGUACUGGUAUAGACUCAUGAAUGAACUGACUCUUGUGUGAUUCCUUGUAAUAGGAAUAAUGUUCUGUUUCAUCUAACUAUCCCUAUGAUAAUUAAAUGGAAAGUAAUUGAUUGUCCAAGUAGAUUAAUGCACCCUCGAUACACCAGGGUGUGGGAAACUGAACGAAGGAUGGAAACUAUAACAUCAAUACAUAUAUAAGAACAUAUGCGUAUAAGUGUAGUUUUGCUCAAGAAGGUAAAAAUAAUGGUUUUGCAAGAUAUCUAGGAGUUUUGAACAAUAAUUAAGAGUGACUUGAUGUCAUUUUAAUAAACAUUUCAAAACUAAUGCUUUUGUUAUCAAAGUAUUUUAAGAUAGAAAACCAUUUUACGCAUCACAUUUUGUAGUAUGUGAAAUCUGCUGAAUAAAAAGACGGUUAUAAAAUACAUAAGAGUGAUUUUAUAACAUGCUGUUUUCUACUUGUAUUCCCCCCCCCCCNNNNNNNNNNNNNNNNUUUAAAAUCAUUUAAAACAUUGAUUAAGGGGUAUGAACUCACCUGUAGUUGGUGGUUUAGAUGAACUGGACGGUGUAGGAUUGCUAGGUGUCAAGUGAGGACUUGUACACACACUACGAUCCUAAUGAACAUAUAAUCACACAUAUAUGCAUUCAAUUAGUCUUAAAUCACUAAUUGAUAAUGGUAAGACAUCCUAGACACAAUAAACACUUUAUAUAAGUGUUUUAAGCCCUAAGGAUUGCAUCUAAGCUAUUGUGGGACAAGGCACUUGUGUUUAGAGUUCCAAAGGACCCCUUAUAUGUGUUUACUCUUCAAAUACCAACACACAUGGAGUUUACGGUUGUAAAAUCUUGAUUUUACGGCCGUAAACUCCCAACCAUGGGGGUAUUGUGUGUUUUGAAGUUCCAAAUGAUUCCUAGAAUUANCUCUUGAGUUUACGGCCGUAAACUCCCAACCAUGGGUGUAUUGUGUGUUUUGAAGUUCCAAAUGAUUCCUAGAAUUAUUCCAACUUGGUGGUUCAAUUCUUGAAAGGGUUUAAGGCCUAGAAACACUCCUUAGAGGAGUUUACGGCCCCAAGGCCAUUUCCUUUGGAGUUUACGGCCGUAAAAUCCCUUGGAAUGGUGUUUUUGUUGUUUUCAAGUCUCUUGCAUAUGAAGGAUAGGUUCUAGACUUUUACCUAAAGCAUAUGAAGGCAUUUGGCACACUUUGGUGCCCUUCUUUCAUGUUUACGGCCCAAGAACCAUGUCUUGGCCAUAAACUCACUUUGGAAGGUGAUUUGGAUGUGUUUUGGUCCUUGUUUUAAGUGGGAACAAUUCCUAGUAAAUGUCCAAUGCCUUAGGUGCCUUAAGAGCACCAUUUUGAGCUUGAUUUUGGAGUUUACGGCCUAAGAUAUUCUUGGGCCGUGAACUCCCAAACAUGGGUGGUUCUUGCUUGGUUUUAUGUCCCUAACACACUCCUAUACAAGUCCAAGGCAAUAGUAUAUCACGGGGGACAAUCUAGGCUUUGUUUCGGGAGUUCCGCCCAAGCNAGUUUACCGCCCAAGAACACCUUGGGGAGUAAACUCCUAAAUCUAGUGAUUUAGCCUUCUAAAUCAUGUUAUAAACACAUAUAAAGCUUUCUAACACUACUAGAAAGAGUUACUCACGUUUUGGUAUAAAAACCCGAAGAUCCGUGAGAGAGAAAAUGGCUUUUCUCUAGUUGGAAAUGCGAAUAAUGAAUGAAUUUGGUUUAGAAUUCUAUUUAUAGUCCUGAGAUAUUUUUGGCAGAAAAUUAUUUUUAUUCCAGAAAUGAUUUCUCAUACAACAGAGUGUUGGAAUAACAGUGUUGCACUAAACCCUAGUGCACCCACUCUCCUGAUAUUUCCUGAAAUGCAAACCCUGAAUUACUCAAACUUACACGAAAAGUCUGAAAAUUAACUGUGACUGCUAUAACUUCUAUUGAAGUGAUAUAGUUUGUACAUAAUGGAAAUUUCGGGUUGUCACAGAAGGCUUAUGAAUGAGAUGUUGAGGACACUUCUGAGCAAGCAUGGUUAUGCUUUUGUGUCUGAGGGCAGAGUGUCGGGAUUUUUGGUUCGAAUGGUUUCUGAUAGCUGUUUUAGAAGAUGUGCCCCGAUGGAUUGUGAACCCUUUUAUUCGCAGGGGUGAGGUUCAUCAGUUAUGGCAUGAUCAAUUUGGAGGAGAGAUAGUCGGUUGUUGGAUAUGGUCGUAUGAGAAUCAGAAAACCAGUGAGAAAACAGGGUUGUUAUUCGAGGAGCAAUUAUCAUGAUGAUCGCUCGAGUAGACGGUCUGGAGGCCGUUCAGGCCACUAGAGUUUCCGGUUAUUGGGAAGGCGUAUUUCUAGCGGCGAAAGUGUUGGUUCAAACUUUGUUUUGGAGGUUCCAUGUGAUUUUGGAUGUCUCUACAGAAAGAUAUCCAGGCGGUAUGAGGAUCUUUUUCGGUGGUGCCUUUCGGGUUAAUGAUUUAAGUUUUGGGUGGUUCAGGAGUGAUUUCGGGGACAAAAUCUAAUUCAAGUGGGGGAGAAUUGUAACAUCCGGAUAUCCAGGUAUGGGAAUUUGAGUAAUUUNGUCUGAUUCUAGUGGGGGAGAAUUGUAACAUCCGGAUAUCCAGGUAUGGGAAUUUGAGUAUUUUAUAUUGGGGAAUGAGGAGACUCAGCGAGUUGACGCCUCAACUCGUCGAGUAGGAUCGUGUUUUGGGGACUAGUUUAAUGAAGGGACUCGACGAGUCGGGUAUUUGGACUCGCCGAGUCGGCGCUGUCAAGUAAAACCCUAAUUGUCCGGGUUUGGGACCUAUUUAAAGGCCCUUAUGGCCUUCAGUGUCGGCCACCUACACCUUUGAGAGACUCCUAUCGAACCAGAGAGCUGAGAGAGUGAAGAAGAGCCAUUUUGAAGCAUUCUUGAGGUGGUUGUGCAAUGGAGUAGUCAUUUCCAGCAAAGGGAGGUUAGGGGGUGUCGAUUCAGAGCUUCUGAGCUUGCAUCUUCACCAAAUAGGUAUCAAAUCGUUCUCCCUUUUCUGUUUUGGGUAAGAUUGGUGAUUUUAGGGUUUUCUAGCUUCUUUUAUGGCUUGAUUUGUGGAGUAUAGUGUCCCAUUGAGUGUGAAGCCAUAGAUCUGGACCCAAAGAGGUCCAGAGAGUCCCUUCCAUCCUGCUUUAUGCAUUCUAUUUGGAGUUUUGAGCUAGGGUUGUUAUGUAAUGAAGGGUUUCACCCAAAUGAGCUUGUAGAACCUUGCAUGAGUGCCCAAGGUUCGACCUUUUUGUGGUUAUUGGCUUUGAGGGAGUUAGAUCUAUGGUUUGGUGAAGCAGAUCUGACCUCAUAAGGUCAGAUGAGGGUUGUCAUGGGAGCAACUCGCCGAGUCCAUAGGCAAACUCGAUGAGUCGAGUCGGGGUUGCCCCGCGAUUCGUUGCCGAGUAACUCGACGAGUGGAGAGGGAACUCGUCAUGUCUAAGAGGUUUAAAAAGGAUUUAGAGAACCUGCAAGGACUCGCCGAGUCACUCUUGUGUACUCGCCGAGUCUGGUCAUUGUUGACCAUUGAUUUGAGUUGUCUAAUGUUGACUUUGGGAGUUUUGGUCAACAGGGGUAAUAGAGGUCAGGGAGGGGUAAAAUGGUCUUUUACCCAUGACCUGACUAGAGAAGGAAAGAGUAAUCGCCGGUUAAUUAGAGUUGGGACUUCAAGUAUUAAUUAGAGAUAUUUGCCUUAUGUGUUAGGCGGUGGCGAGUCCGAGGUUCGCAUGUGCAGAUAAUUGCUUUCUGAUUGCCAGGUGAGUUUUCUCACUAUACUUUACCUUGAGUAGGUAACCAAAGUUAUGUGAUACAGUAUUUGUAGGCUAUGUAUGUUAUGUGUUGUACUACAUUAUUUCUAUGUGAUUUAUGAUGUGCAUGUUUACAGAGUUAGAACCGGAAGGUUCACAGAGUUAGAACCGGAAGGUUCACAGAGUUAGAACCGGAAGGUUCAUAGAGUAGGGUCCACGGACCCACAGAGUUAUAGCCUCGAGUGGCUAAUAUGUGUUAUGUGUGGUAUUUUGGGGAACUCACUAAGCUUCGUGCUUAUAGUGUUUUGUGUUAUGUGUUUCAGGUUUCUAUCAGGAUCACGGGACGGCACCGGCUCGAUAGUACACACCAGAGAAAGAGUCAUGUUUUGAGGAUCUUGGUUUAUUAUGCAAUUGAAAAUGGAGUCAUGUUUUGUAAUUUGAUUAUGAACGGGAUUUUAAGAAAAGUAUUUUUUUUAAGAAUCAAACGAUUACUUUUAAAUGAAAAUUGUUUUGAAAUUUACGGUGUUACACAUACACUAAGGAACUACAGUAAUGAUGUCAAUUUCAUAUAAGAAAACCGUAGGCUAUUAGGCAUCAUAUAAUCAGGCAAUUGUAUCAUGCAAUCCCUAAAGAUCCUUAGCCUAUCACUAGCAUGUUGUUCUAACAUAUCACAAUAUCAAAUAACCAUAUGGUAUUUUGGGGUCUACUUACUGGCUCCGACUGGUCGUACACUCUGCAUCCUCCUUUAGUAUUUUGAAAACCAUUUAAAAUCAUUUUGAAAAUCUUUUCCUUAGUUUGAGACUGGAUUCACAUGAGUGUUCCUCCAAUUCACUCAAAUCAAGGCUCUGAUACAUUAUUUAUUACAAAAUGUUUUCAAAAUUGUUUCAUAACAGAGAAUCCCAGAAAUCAAAAUCAUAAAAUGUGACGAGGUGCACGAUCAAGCCUUUGCCUUCCCGCGAUCAUCCGAAGUACCUGAAACAAAAUUCAAAACUGUAAGACUGAAGCUUAGUGAGUUCCCCCAAAAUACCAAUACAUAACAAAUAACACACAUAAUAACAACAUGUAAUGGGUCCAUAGCUUCACAAACUGGAUUACCCCCCCCCCCCUCGAGCCCACAGUAUGAGUCUGACUUGCCUUACAGGCCCACAGCUCACAUCUGGCUUGCUCCCGAGCCCACACCAUAAGGUUGGUUUGCUCUCGAGCCCACAACCUAUGACUGGCUUUCCCCUUCAGUCCUAAGACUGGAAUAUAAAUGAUCAACCCUCAGUGUGGGUCUGGCAUGCUCGCCUGGCCCUCAGCUCGCAUCUGGAAUGCUUAGUAGUCCUCGGUAUAAGUCUGGCAUGCUCUCCCUGGCCUUUGGCUCAUAUCUAGCUUAAUCCAGGGUUUGUUGGUUACCGCAUGGAACAGUACAACCUCAACCCUAACCACACAACAUGUCGACAUGUAACAGCUAAAUACAUAUACAGAUAAUCAGACAGUAUCACAGGUAGUUCUACAGAUAUACCAGACUAGCAUAUCAAAAUAGCAUGCAUAUCUGAAGUCCUAGCUUCAAAGCAUGCUCAAAACCAAGAAUGAAUCAAGAAUAAGCUAGAAAUGACCAUAAACUCUCUAAUGGAGAGAUUUAACAAAGGAGUUAUCAAGAUGGCGACUUUUUACCUCCAAAUGGUUGCAAAAACAGUGAAGCUCUCGGAUCUAAGGCCUUCAACGCAAUCUAACCUCUUCAAGCUUCUAGUUUCCUCCAAAAGAACACAAGAUUUACUCUCUAAAGCUCACACACACUCAAGAAAGUAAUAAACCACGGCUAGGGUUUCUCUCUGGAUAAUAAGGUGGUGAGGGAGGCCAGUGAGGGGAUUUAAGGUCCUUUAAAUAGGGUGCGAACCCUAAAAAUUAGGGUUUUCAUGCACAACCUAAACCCGUCGAGUUUGGAUCCUCCAACUCGUCGAGUAGGUUCCAUAAUCCACACAACCUUAUUAAUUUCUACACGAUGAGUUGGGGCCUCCAACUCGUCGAGUAGGUCAUAUGUGAUGUACAAAAAUUCUUAAAAUUCAUACAUGGGAGUCGGGAUGUUAGAUCGUUGAGGGAAAUUCAAGGGCUUAACCGGUGGGUUUUUUGGUGUAUUGGAUGGUGGAUCACAUGGGACGUCAUUACUGUUCCGGGUACGGUUUGAAGCAUUCGCCAAAGCAUGGGUACAUAAGGUUGUAUAGGGUCUGAUAGGCGUGUUUAGUUGGCGAGAGGUUUGGUAGAGAUCAAGGUGAAGUUGAAACAACUUUAAGGUGUUUGGUUUUAGUGACUCGAGAAGUUUGGUCGGAUACGGGUCGACAAUCCAAAGGGUUUCGAGUUUGGUGUAAAAGUUUGGCUUUCAAUUUUGACUUGGUUUACAUGUUAAGGUGGAGAUUGUAGUAAAAUGUCGCUUUAAAACUAUUUUUAGGUUCUAAUAUAUCAAUAAAGCUAUAGUGUAGGGGCCAUUAGUUUAAAUAGCAUAAAUGAUCGCUAUUAUCUUCAUUUAGAUAAGACGUACAUAAAAGUUUUUUUGUGUUCAUUCUCUGUAUCACGCAUACAUACACACACAUUUCAAGAACAUAUAAUCUUUGAUCAUUCUUCGUUUAUUUCUUCUACAAUUUCUUUUUAAUUAUCGUUUUAUGCUUCCNNNNNNNNNNNNNNNNNNNNNNNNNNNNNNNNNNNNNNNNNNNNNNNNNNNNNNNNNNNNNNNNNNNNNNNNNNNNNNNNNNNNNNNNNNNNNNNNNNNNNNNNNNNNNNNNNNNNNNNNNNNNNNNNNNNNNNNNNNNNNNNNNNNNNNNNNNNNNNNNNNNNNNNNNNNNNNNNNNNNNNNNNNNNNNNNNNNNNNNNNNNNNNNNNNNNNNNNNNNNNNNNNNNNNNNNNNNNNNNNNNNNNNNNNNNNNNNNNNNNNNNNNNNNNNNNNNNNNNNNNNNNNNNNNNNNNNNNNNNNNNNNNNNNNNNNNNNNNNNNNNNNNNNNNNNNNNNNNNNNNNNNNNNNAUAUAUAUAUAUAUAUAGAGAGAGAGAGAGAGAGAGAGAGAGAGAGACCUAUAACUUAAGAAUCAAUAUAUAGACCAACUUAGUACUUUCUAAGAUAUCUUUCUCAAUGACUUCGAUGUGCUUUUUUUAUAAUCCAAUUCUCCAUUACAUUUACAAUCAUAGAAAAACUAGAUCUUUUUACAUUUGUAAACACUUAUGUUCAUUACAAUCGACAUCAACGGUCGUCAUUGCAGCUGAGUCCCUUGUUAGACGAUCUGCAAAUUAUAUGUCAUCACUAUGGUCCUUUGAUCAAGUUCAAUCGCUCUCUAGCAAAUACAUAGUAAGAUUCCCAUUUUCUUUUAUAUUAUGGUUGGUAGUAUGUCACAUUCAAGAAUUUAACCGAUACAGGGAGAAGAGUACACAGCAAGAGCACAUACUUUAAAGGAAGUUGUGAAAACGUUAAUAUACAAUGUGGGAAAUCCAUUGGGAACUCUGGAGCUGGUUGAUGAGUUGCAGAGACUCAGGAUAUCAUAUCAUUUUGAGGAUGAAAUAAGUGAGGUGUUGGAGAUGAUUUACUACAAUUACUACAAAACUCACAACAAGUGGAAUAGCAUGGAUUUGAACGUUAAAGCACUUGGCUUUCGACUACUAAGACAACAUGGUUAUCAGGUUCCCCAAGGUAAAUUUAAUAAAUGAUCUAUAUUCGUAGAGAAUUGAAUGAUUCAUAUUCGUAGAGAUUUGAAAGAUUUCAUUUGUGAUCCCGAUGCAUGCGGUUUAGUUUAUAUUAAAACAAAUAUUAAAAGUUUUUUUUUUCUUGAUUUUGCUUUUAUAUUUAGAGAUAUUUCUCAACUUUAAGGACAAGACUCAAAAUCUAAACCCACAAUUACUCGAGGAUAUGGUGGCAACGCUAAACUUGUACGAAGCUUCUUAUCAUUCAUUCGAGGAUGAAAGCAUAUUGGACGAUGUCAGAGACUUCACAACCAAAUAUCUCCAAGAAAAUUUAGAGAAAUUUGAUGGAAAUAUAUCAUCGUUAAUAACACAUGCGUUGGAGCUUCCGUUGCAUUGGAGAGUACCAAGGGUAGAGACGAAAUGGUUUAUGGAAGAAUAUGAGAAAAGAAGUGGCAUAAAUCCCACAUUGAUAGAGCUUGCAAAACUGGAUUUUAACAUGGUCCAGGCUAUCCACAUCGAGGAUUUAAAACACUCCUCAAGGUAUCAUAUGGGUAUAUAUAAAUUACAUUAUCUUGACUUGUUAUGCACUACAAAAUAAAGUAUCAUGAUAUAUAGCUAUUGUGUACCCCAUGAAUAUAAGGUGGUGGAGAAAUAUAAGUUGGGAUAAGAAGUUGAGCUUUACUCGAGAUCGGUUGGUGGAGAACUUUUUGUGGACUGUUGGUGUUAGUUACCUGCCUCGCUUUAGCAAUGGAAGGAGAACCUUAACUAAGGUUAAUGCCAUAAUUACUACUAUCGAUGAUGUCUAUGAUGUAUUUGGUACUUUGGAUGAAGUUGAACAAUUUACAGAUGUCAUCAGCAGGUAAAUGCUAUUAUAUAUAUNUAUAUAUAUAUAUAUAUAUAUAUAUAUAGACUCUUACGAUACUUCAGUACGUUACAUGCUUAAUUGGUUGUUUAUUAACUACUGUAUAUUUGCACAAAUUUAAUGAGAACUAAAGAAAUUUUCUUUCAUAGAUGGGACCUCCAUGCGAUAGGAGAACUUCCGGAUUAUAUGAAGAUAUGUUUCCUUGGAUUCUAUAACUCGAUAAAUGAGAUUGCAUAUAACACCUUGACAAACACAGGAUUCUUAAUCCUUAAACACCUAAAGAAAGCAGUAAGUAAUCCUUCUUCUUCGUAACAAUAUUAUGUUGAUCAGUUAAUUACUAAGGGCAUAACACCAUGAAUACCUUUUCAAAUUAUAUUACGAAAUUGAUCACCGAUUAUGUGUAUAAAAGAGUUGUAAAUUUACAAGAUUAUCUUUUAGUGAACUCGGACAUCACAUUUUAUAAUUAAUAUUUAAUUUUUUCCGGAAUAAGAUAUUAAUUAUAUCAACAAAAUGUCAUUUUCACAUACUAAAACAUUAGAAGCUACAUAUCAUUUUCCUAACCAAAAAUAUUACCAAAAAUAGAUUUUGUUUUCUUGAGAACACAAAUAUGACACGCUUCUUUUUGAAUAAAAAAUGAUAAAUGGAUUUGUCCUUCUGGAAAAGGAAAGAUGACCACAUUUUUAUUAUUUUUUUAAAUCCAAAUAGCAAUAAAGAAUUAAAGAUUCUUUGUCGGGAAAUGAAUAGGACACCACCCCGUUUCAAAAAAAAAGAGGACACCACCCUCUGUCACCUGUUCUUUAUUUCCUUUAUUUUUUUAUUUUUAUAUUUUUUUAAUGCCAAUUUAGGGGUAUUUGGCUUAGUUUUUUAGAAGGCAAAAGUCAUUUUUGAAAAAAUUGCAAAAAAUCAGGUUUUUUUGACUUUUUCAAAAAGUUAAUUUUCCUUUUAUCCAAAAUCCAAAAGUAGCUUUUAAAAGUCUUUUGCCGAACAUCUUUUAUCUUUGUUCUUUUUCUAAAAGGACUUUUGCCCUCUCAAAAGUUAAGCCAAACACCCCCUUAAUCUAUUUCUAACCUUAAGACUAAAUAGAGUGGGGUUGUUAAACUCACUUGCUAUGCUCGCUAGUAAGACAUAAACACCGCCCCUAGCGCUCGCUAGGGUGGUCGUUAUGUCUUUCUCGUUACCAUUUUGGUGAGAUGAGAGAGAGUGUGUGGGUGAAAUCUGAUUGCUCCAUAGGAGGUUGACCGGAUUGCAUUAAAAAUUUCUCCUUUUUGAUUUUAAAGAAUUGGAGUGUUAGGAGUGUUACUACUCUUUAUCAAAUGCUAAGAUUAAGUGCUAAAUGGAGAAAAAUGAGGUGACAAUCAAAAAGCUGACAUGACAAGGUGUUAGGAGUGUUAUUACCACUCCCUUAGCCUAAAGAGUGAUGACAUACCAUUGGGUUGUAAGCCUUUUGAUCUUUUCUUUAUUUAUUAAUUUAGAAAAAAUGGAAAAAAAAAGUUUAUGAAUGAUUUGUCAAAAAAUAUCAUUACUUGUGAAAUAUGAUGUCAAUAACCAUUGGUAUUACACUCUUACCCGCCCCCCUUUCCUGUGAUUUCUAUGAUUAAUUGUUAUUUUAUUUCCUUUGUGAUUUGAAUCAAAUCCAAAUCUUUUAUUCUUUUUUAAUUCCAACAUUGUAGUGGGAAGAUUUAUGCAAGUCAUACCUAGUAGAAGCACAGUGGUACCAUAAUGGAUAUACACCCACACUUGAAGAGUACUUGGAAAAUGCUUGUGUAUCGAUAUCGGGUCAUGUAGUACUCAUGCAUGUUAAAUUUUUAACAUCAGUUAGUUUAACCAAAGAAAUCCUACAAUGCCUGGAUAUGUCUGGUAAUAUAGUUCGUUACUCAUCAUUGAUCUUCCGACUUGCUGAUGACUUAGGGACAUCCUCGGUAUGCUCUAGCAUUAUUCGUAUUUUGACUAUUUUCCUUUCAACACGUACAUUAAAUUUGAAAGUGUUUUCAAUGGUAUAUAAAAUAAAGACAAAAUUACUCGCGGUUGGUCCUAUGGUUUCCAAAAACAGACAUAGUAAGGAAAAUUAUAAAACGCACUACACAUUAUGUCAUGUGGUUUCAUUUAUGGCGUGGUUGGUUUUUUGAAACCAUAGGGACCAAGGGCGUACGAGUUUCUAUAGUUGUUCUUACUACGCCUAUUUUGGAAAACUACAAUGACCAAUCACGUAAUUAUGUGUAAAAUAAAUAAGUUAAACAUUAUGUUCUCUUCUUUUAAGGAUGAAAUGGCAAGAGGGGAUAUUCCAAAAUCAAUUCAGUGUUAUAUGCAUGAGAGUGGUGCAACAGAAGAGGAAGCUAGAAGGUAUAUAAAAAAUCUAAUCAAUGAGACAUGGAAGAAACUUAACAAGGAACGAGCAUGUGUUAACUCUAAGUUUUUACGAGAGUUUAUAGACUAUGCAACAAACCUGUCUCGGAUGGCACUAUUCAUGUAUGCUAAAGGAGACGGGCAUGGUCGUCCAGAUGUGACUAAAUCUUAUGUAUUAUCAUUGUUGUUCAAUUCAUAUGAAGGGCAAGAAUAGUUUAGAAUAUGUGUUUUUAUUUAAAAUGCCAAAGAAUCCCACAUUUUAUGUUGCUAGAAGAUCUAUGAAGGACAUGGAAAUUAUGAUAUCUUAACAUGCUGUUAAUGUUGAUGCUACUUUGCAGUUGACUUCUAAGUGAUUUUUAUGAAUCAAAUUCGAGGAGUGAUUGCACCUCAUGCAUUUGAAGAUUAUGCUUCUUGUCUUUGUUUCUCAAACAUUGUACAUAGGCUUGUGUGUUUGAAUCGAUGAUAUGAGGCAUCCACUAUGGUAAUGAAUUUUUAGGCCCAAGAUAUUGACAAGGGUGUUCCAAACAUAUUUUAGGUUUGACAAAAAAAAGCACUACUAGAAUAUAGGUCUUUAAUGACAUGGAAUGAUUUAUGUUACGCAUAAGUGUGUGUCCUAAAAAUAAUGUCAUCUCUCGAAAAAUUUAAAGGAUUUAGGACAUGCAUUUUUACGUGCCCUAUAAUUAAUGUCAAAAAAACAUGGAGGCCACCUAUAAUAAAACGUGUGUCCUCUAAGGAUGUCAUUUUAUAAAUUUUAUGUGAAAUGCGCGUUUUUCAUCCUUUAAUAGCUAAGCGGGAAAUGAAAACCCAAAAGUUAAAAAUCCUGCUUGUGAACCACAAAAGUUAAAAAUCCUGCUUGUUAAAAAUCCUGUUUCCACUGGUGAACCACAAAAUUAAACCCCCCCUGAUAUGCAUCCUCACCCUCUCCUCUAGAUCUUCAUUCUCUGUAAAAACCCCUUCUACCAUCGAUGAUCGAAUUUCACUCCCAAAAAUUACAUAAUGAAAUCCCAAAAAAUUGCAAAACCCUGCUUUUAAGAAAAAUCCUAAACACCCGGUGGUAUUUUCCCUAAAAUUCAUGGAUUCUCUCAUGCGAUUUUAGCGAUUUUCGUUUACCCUUUAUUUUUUCGGCAUCGAUCACUUCUUAGUUGGUCUUUGGCCAUCAUUUUUGUUGUAUCUGGUUUCCCUUGUUCUCUUCCACCUCUAUUUCCAUCUUUCAUCUUCAAGUUCUUCUCAUCAUUAAUUCAGACGAUUCAUAGGAUUCCAGGUUGAGGAGGAGGAAGAAGAGCUAUCAUUCAAGUUCUAGGAGUAGAAGUAGGAAAUCAAUAUAUGUGUGUGAGACGUAAGAUGAAUCCACUGAUAAAAAGAAUACCCCACCAAAAAACUCAUAAACCCUCGUUAUCAGCUACAUAAGCCAAAAAUCCCUCGUCUAGGGUUUUAUUUAUCAACGCUCCCACCAAAGGUACUCUCGUGUCAUUUUAACCUGAGUACAUGUAUACGUUUCUUGACAAAUUUUUUGGAUUUUCUACUUUGGUUGACCUAGAAAUUGCCAAUACUUCAAGAAUUGUGGAGACAUGGUUUCCAUUAUCUGUUCAUGGACUUGAAGUUCUAUAGAUAUCCAGGAAUACAAGAGGUUAUGUUUUACAAUUCAUUAACGACAACAAUGCCUUUGUAUGGUGGGAGGUGAACAUUAUAUGCUUUCUUGUUUUCAUUUUUUAGUAAUUGGGUGUUGUAAUUUUAUUGUCUUUGCUUAGUUUUAUAUUGAUUUUCAUGUAGUAGAAACAAUAUGGAGUUCUAGUGUUUCUUUUACGUAUGGCACAAGGGAGGUUUCCAAAUGGCUCUUAGGAAGUUCGUGUUUCCCACAUGAUGUUAAAAAUGAGUUAAAUUUGGAACUGUACACAAUAAUAUUGUUAUUGAAGUACUGUGGGGAUCGAUUAACUAUUGAAGUCAAACAUAUAUAACAUAAUUUGUACAUGUUUUAAUGUUUAUGUUUCAAAUAUACAUAAUUGGAAAUGAAAAAGUGUUCCAAGCAUGACUUGUGAUGAUCUAAAUGCAAUUGAUCAAUGUAUAUUUUAAGCUUUGUGGUUGUUUUACGCAGCUAGACAUACAAUUUUUUGUGCAUACUAGGCACACAAGUGAUGGAUUGGAAAACAAACUGGUAUUUGUUAUUGAAAUUCCAUCCAAUGUCCAUGUCCUUAUCAUGCUCCCAUCACACCUAAAAAUGAUAAAAUUAUAUAUGCAUGUAAUCUAAAUUAUUGACCUACUUUAUUAUGCAGGGUAUGACCCUCAUAACUUUUUUGGUGCAUACUCUCUUUCCUAUUUUAUAUGAAGGGGCUCAACUCUACUCGAAAAGCCAUGUUAUAAGCUGAAGGUACACUAUUUCAAUAUCUUGUACAUGAAAUUCACAUAUGAAGUUUGUUAAUCUAUAUAAACCAACCCAACUCGGAUGUCUUGUGUUAUGUUUUCAGAUCAUUUCACUGUUGAUUCUAGUUGUUGAUUUGAUAGUCAAUAUCCUCUACCUAUCUCUAGUGGCCAUUUAUUCUCUUUCAUUGAGGAUUUCACCUUAUAUUAGGGUAGUUAUUUUUAUCUUGAACAUCAGGUAUGUCAUGAAUACAUUUAAAACCCUCCAAUAUGAUAAAAUGUUUAUGUAUUUUCAUUGUUGGCGAGGCUAAUUUCCUUUUUGUUAGCUUGAUUUAAGGACCUACGAGAUACCCUUGUUGUCUUGUCUGGAAUGUUUGUCACAUAUCUCAAUGUGUUGGUAUGUAUUUUAUUACAUUAUCAUGAAUUCAUGACUAGUUAUCUAAUUUACAGUGUUUGCCCAUGAUAUGAAAAAGAUGACCAUUGUGUUAUGAGUUUGAAAGUUAACUUCUAAAUUUUCUUAUGUGGUAGAAAACUUUUUGUUGGAGGCAUUGCUUGGGAGACUUCAAAAGGUAUGUUAAUGCAACUUAAUUUCUUGAUGAUACUCUUGUUUUAUAUAUAUAUAUAUAUCAUGUUGACAUGUUUAUGUCUUAUCAUUCUUCCUUUAAUAAUUGAUGAAUUUUCUCCAUAACUAAUCAAUCUAUGUUUUUGUUUCUCAUAUCCAGAAUCCUUCAACAGUUACUUCAUCCAUUAUGGGGAACUUACGAAUUCUGUGAUAAUGAUGGAUAAAAUUUAUGGGAGACCGCAUGGAUUAAGGUUUGUAACAUUUGCUAACCCUGCUGAUUCAGAUAAAGUCUUGGAGCAAGAUCAUGUCAUAGAUGGCAGACCAGUAAGAUACCUUUUCAUGAUUAUACUAUAUGAAAUUACAUAUAUUAGGGUUACAAAAUGGGUGGGUCAGAUGGGUUGGGUAAUGAUUCAAAAUGGGUAAAUUUUAGGGUCGAGUUGGGAUGACCCACCAUCACCUUUUUGUCCAUUUUUAGAGUUUUAUAAACUAGUAUGUUAUAUAUAAUUAGAAAGGAUUAAUUCAAUGGUAUAGAAAAUACCUAUUUUCUUUGGUAGUUAGGUCACUAAAGUAACAUUUUUUUAUUAAUUCCACUAUGAUAUACUUAUAAGCAUUUUAAUACGUUUUGGGUAUUAGUUGACUUGUUUUAUCUUUAGCUAAGUGCUUACAUUGUAUCGAUUUGGAGAUAAAAUAUAUCCAAAACAAAUCCAUUAUUGGGUAAAUUGAUUGAAAUUGCUUUCUCUAAUUGGUAUUUGGAACAUACUUCCUUUGCUUUUUUGAUGUGGUCUUGAAUUAGGUUAAAGUGAAGAGGACAGUUCCAAGGGAGGAUAUGCAGGGUAGUAGAGGUGUAUCAAGAACAAAGAAAAUCUUUGUUGGUGGUAUACCAUUAACUUUAACAAAAGGUAAUAAUAACAAAAUGAUUUGAUUUCUUAAUUAAAAAAAAAUCAAAUUAUGGAGUCCCAAGAUGUGAUGAUGUUAUUAUUGUGAUGUAACUUUGAUUUGCAGAUGAGAUGAUGGAAUAUUUCUUGUCAUAUGGUGAGAUUGUAGAACAUCAAAUAAUGCUAGAUAAUGUCACUAGUCGAUCAAGAGGAUUUGGUUUUGUUACAUUUGAUAGUGAAGAGGCUUUGGUUUUGAUACAUCUGAUGAUGUUGAUAUUGUGUUGUAACUUUGAUGCUAACGUUUACUUGGAUUGUUAUUAUAUGAAAUACAUUUUUUUGUUAUAUCAUGUAUUUUAUGUUGUGUUAUGAGAUAUUAAUUGUCAUUUAAUUUGAAAAUUAGUAAAUCUAUAAAAAAAUAUAUAUAUUUUUAAAAAAUAUAUAUAUUUUUUAAAGAUUUUAAAAUUAAGACACGCAAUGCGUGUCGUAAAUGCGCGUCAUAAGGUUACGACAGACAAAUGUGUGUCAUCUUCAUUUAUGACAGGGGAUUCCUUGAUACGCAUUGUGUGUCAUCUAUUUGUCGUAAAUGCGUGUCGUAAAUAGACGACGCGCAAAAGCAUGUCGUCUGUCGUUAUGACAGGGCCUUCCUUGAUAUGCAUUUGCGUGUCGUCUGAGCGUUUUACAACACACAUUACGUGUCGUAAAAGGUUGUUUUUCUUGUACUGAAGAAAGAGCCUUUAUUAUUAUUACACUAAAAACUAUGAAAAAAUGAAACAUGUUUAUUGGGCAAGUUAAAUAGUGAAACCAACAAUUGUGUUAUGAUGUGCAUAAACACCAAAACAUAAUUAUUGAAAUGUUUUGAGAUUCUACGGUUUGGUUUAGGGUUUUAAAAAGGAUUUUUGGCACUAUAGCACAAUGAAGUUUGGCCACUUUUCACAUCUAGUCACUCAUGUAUGUUUUAUGCUCAAUUAAUCCUUAACUUUAGGAAAUACCGGCUAAUUACACCCUUAUGAACUUGGUAAAUGGAACAGUCGGUUGUCUUUCUUACGUGGUAUUACAUUAAAUAAGAUAUUUACCUUACCUUAUCCACGUAAGAAAUCGAAGUAAAAAUAAUCACAUCUAUUCACACACACUACUACUCUCCUUCGUUCUUCAUUUUUAUCAAUGACCAAGAAUGAAAAAACUAGGGUUACACACGUUUUCCUUCGAUCGAAUUUAGUGAUCAGGUAACCAACCGACAAUGUAACCUCAAGGCCAAACCCUGAUGGUGUCUACCUUGUAGUGGAGCUCAACUUCGAAGGUGUUUUUCUUCGAGAUCCUUUUUCGUAUAACCAUGGUAUAAAAUUCACAUUCAAAGAUCAUGAUUUUUCUGGAAUGACAUACUCUGAGUGUAUCACCUUUCUCGAAUGGUUCAUGCAAGAAAGUAUAAACAAGUUAUACUACUGUGAGCCAGAUAAACCCUUAUUGUCUGGGAUAACUGCUAUUCGUAAUGAUGGAGAUUAUGUUAGUUUCAUUUUUUAUGCUUUUGGAGUUGAUGGUUUUAUUUCCCUAUAUGUGGACCAUGAUGGUCAAGGAAUAGAGGAUUGGUUUGGCUCUGAGAUAUAAGAAGAAGAAGAAGAAGAAGAUGAUGAUGAUGAUGUCGAUCCAUGCAUUGAUGGUGGUGAAAAUGAAGACGAAAUUGAUAACCUUAUGGAUGUGGAAGUAGACUUUAAUGAGGAUAUACUCACUAUGAACAUAAUACAAGGUGAUGAUUUUAUGAAUAAAUUAUGUGUUGAAGAGGAAGAGGGAAAUGAUAACAACAUAGAUGAUGAUGGGGGUGAAGAGGAGGAAAAUAUAACGCAACAACAUUCGAUUUUUCAUGAGUCAACUCCAUAGAAAAAGCAGUACCCUAUACUUGGUAAGAGAUUCAAAGAUCCAACUCAAUUAAAAUCUAUGUUAUUCAACUAUGUUUUUUGUUGGAUUAGGUGUCUAAGCCCAUAACUAUAAUUGGUAUGUACUUGAUUUGAUAGUAGCAUGGUCCUUUUAGGUUGCCUUCACCAUAGCAACUCGACAGGAUGAGUUUUGGAGAAAGAGGUUAAUAAAUGAUUUAUUAAUAUAUUAUAAGAAUAAUAUAUUAAUUGAGAAAUCAUAUUAUUUAAUUAGUAUAAAUCAUAAAUUAAUUUGGAAUUAAUUUUGGGAUUAAAGGAACUGAUUAAAAGUAAAGGGGCUGAUAUUGUAAAUCAUUGAUAGUUGCAAUUAGGGUUGAUGGACUCCUUAAGGAAGGAAUGGACGAAAUCUAUGGGAAGCCCAUAGAGAUUUCGUCCAAGGCCCUCUAGAAGGUAUCCACGGACGGCUUAAGGCUUAAGCAAUCAGAUUAGGGUUUCCACCUGAAAACCCUACCAGCCUCGGCUAUAUAAGGAACCCCUUGGUAUAAAUUUUUUGGCCCUAUGCAUUCUAAGAGAACCCUAGCCGAAAAUUGAAGAGCCUCCAUCACCUUUCUCCUUCAUCCUUUGCUAGUGGUGUUUGUGACUCCAUUAGAGGUGCAACGCUUGGGGCACUAAGAUCUUAGAAGUCAAGAUCAAGCAAGGAAUACUUGUUAUUUCUAGAUAACAAGAAAGGUAUUCUUCUAACACUAACAAUAUAUAGAUUUUGAUUUUAUAUAUAUUAGAUCUAGGGUUAUUGCUUAGAAAAUUAUUUGCAUGUAUAACUUGAGAAAAACUUAGAUCUAAAGCAAUUAGGGUUCCAUGUACAUAUAGAAAUGUAGAUAUGCUCAAAACCGAUCAGUGAAAUCAGAGCCUAGGUCGUUUUUCUAUUAUAUUUGAGAAAAUAGUGAUAUGCCUAAAGCUGAAAUAAAACGAUUCUGCUUUCUAUCUGAUGAACUCGACGAGUUGAAAAAUGAACACGACAAGUUGGGUAAACUCGACGAGUCCAAGCCCUGACUUGACGAGUUGACUCGUCUGACAGCUAAUUUUUCGAUUUUCAAAUCUAUCUUAGAUUAGGAUAGUUACCAUAAUUCGUUUUUAAUGCCUUAAAUUGGCCUAAAGCUGAAAUAAAACGAUUCUGCUUUCUAUCUGAUGAACUCGACGAGUUGAAAAAUGAACACGACAAGUUGGGUAAACUCGACGAGUCCAAGCCCUGACUUGACGAGUUGACUCGUCUGACAGCUAAUUUUUCGAUUUUCAAAUCUAUCUUAGAUUAGGAUAGUUACCAUAAUUCGUUUUUAAUGCCUUCAAUUAAAUUAUCUGCUUGGUAAUGUGAUUUCCUUAUCAAAAUAGAUUGUUUUGGUCAAACUUUAAGAUAAUGUCUAAUUAUAUGAUUAAUUAAUUAUUUAAAAUUUGAACUAGUAAUUUUGAAAAUUUUCAAAUUGCAUCCUCAAAGUUUUGGAAUUUAAAAUUUUAAUUAAAAUUUUAAUUUUGAAAUGAUAAAUUCUAGAAAACCCUGGUAUUUUAAAAGUUUAAAAUACAACCCUNAGAUGAGUCAGUCAUAACGUUAGUAGGCCUCAUUCCUGAAGCCGAUCUAUAAGGGGAGUAUAAAGGUAACUUCCUAUAAAAUGGCAGUUGAAUGAGUGUGCACUCUCACCCACCGUUUCCUUGACUGGUGGAGCGUCGUUGGCCGAACGGGUAGGAUAGGACAUUAAUUCUCUCAUUAAUAAGUAUAAUGAAAAUUAUAAAGUAACUAAAUGUUUUUAUAAAUUCCCAAUCUUAUUUACUUUAGGAAAAUAUGAAAAUGAUGCCAGUCCAUGAAAUUGCACUUUGCAUCUUGCCAAGUCGUUAGUGGAGCAUGUGUGAUUAACCGACACACUGACUUGGACUAACAAGGAUGGCAAAGGGUAACUCGAAAAUUAUCAUAGAUCAAUGGAGCGUGUGUGGUUAAUCGUCACAUUGAUUAGGUGGUAAAUGACAUCGAUAGUGCCAAGCUAAUUUUCAUGGUUAUUCACACCUUGUUUGUGAUCCUCGGUGUCCCAGUCACAAACUUAAAGGGCAUAAUUGAGAUUAAACAUGUCGUUGAAAAGUUCAAUGAAUAUCAAAAGAAUCUAGGAAUUUCAUUUCAUUUAAAACUUAAUUCUUCAUUUCGUUUUUCAUGGUGGAAUUGGUAAAUCGUCAUUUACCUACCUUCAAAUAAUUUACAACUGGAUUACGGCAUCCCUCUUCCGAAUAAUUAAAUGGUUAGUGGGGUGUUGGUUUUGGGAUGUCAAAUGGCAAGAAUUGAAUCUAUAGGGGUUAAAAUGUAAUUUGGGGACUUAAUUUGUAAAGAUUUUCAUAAGUUAAGGAGUGUUAGGUAUUAUUUGGGCUUAAUAUGUAAAGAACUAUGGAAACAAGGGUAAAGAGUAAAUAUCAAACUUAAUGUAGCACCUGGUUCCUAGUACGUAUUCCUUGUAAUUAAUAUUUCGUAAUUAAUGCAAUUUUCCUUGGACUCGGCGAGUUGAAGAACCAACUCGCCGAGUAGAAGCGGGAUGAGACGUGGGGUCUGAGCCUCAGACUCGGCGAUUCGGUUCCCGGACUCGGCGAGUAUGCCCUGUUUGGGCAAAAACCCUACCCCGGGUGUUUGCACCCUAUUUAAACACUCUAACUCGGCCUCCGCUGUCCCUAACACUUCCAGAAGAGCUAUAGAGCGAAACCAUAGCCCCCUUUUGUCUUUGUGAGUGAUUUUGGCCUUGUGAAGGAAGUUUGAAGCUUAAGAGAAGAAGAAAGAGGUGGAAGAGUGCAAGGAGAGGAAGUAGAUCCGACAUCUACCCUGCAAGAGGCUUCCAUUCAGGUAGAAAAGUCCCUACCUUGAUCUGUAGUUCAUUAAAUUCCCCGUCCCUAAUUGGUGGUUUUCAAUCCCUAAAAACACCAAACUCCAUGUGUUUGUGCUCUAUGAUCCGAAAGGACUUCAAAUCUAGACCUUAUAGACGUAUUAGAAGUAUAAAGUCUCUGUGGUUGAAGUGAUUGAGGUCCCUAUUGAGUGUAUGACCAUAUAAAGAGCUUGGAUUUGCCUUUUGGAGCUUAUAGGGCCAUGCAUGCACGUAAAGUUUUCAACUUUACGUGAUAAGCAUGACCUACGAACAUAGAUCUAUGCUUUGGAAGCAUUGCAUGUCUCAGAUUUGGUCUGUAUGGGAAAUGGGUCGAAGGGACUCAGCGAGUCCCAAAGUGGAACUCGGCGAGUUCUAUGAAGAUGGCCUUAGACUCGACGAGUUGGAUGAACAACUCGGCGACUCCUAUGAAGAUUGUCUGGAACUCGACGAGUUGUUCUUCAAACUCGGCGACUCAUAUGAGCUAUUACUGAGUAAGAGGGGUUUAGGUGUUGGCGGUCCAAACCUUCAUAUCCGCACGCGGAAUUAGCAAUUUAACAUGUAGCAAUAGUCCCAGAAACCCAAAUCCUCAUAAAGGAUGCUCUGGUGAGGAUUUGGAAGCGAGUAAGAGAUCAGCUCGUAUGGACUCAGCGAGUUGCUCUUGGACUCAGCGAGUCAGAUCACGAGCUGGUUCUAUCGUCCUAAGUAGUGAGUUAAGGGUGAAUCAGUGAGUGGGAACAAGGACUUGUAGAGUAGGACCGGGUUAGUGGGAGAAGGACUCGGCGAGACGGUGCCAUGACUCGGCGAGUCCAGUCAACUGGAAGUUGACUUUGACCAAGGAGUUGACCUUGGACCAGGGUGGGUCAGUCAUCUGACCUAAGGGUGUUUAUGAGUGGCUAAUCUAUGUUUAUGAUUUAUAGCCAGAGGAUUACCGAUUCAGCAGUCAGGCGCUUAGCAAGCAGACUUUCAGCAGCUACUUUUUGAGGUGAGUUACCUUCCAGUAGCAGUGGGUCUAAGGCUAUAAUGUCGGCCCACUAGUAGGAGUUGUAUGAUUAGAUGAUUGUCUCUGUGAUAUUCAUCUAGGGUUUCUACUACCUGUGUUAUGUUUAUGUGCUAGUAUGAUAUGAUGUUAUGUGCUAGUGACAGUAAGGGAGAUAGUCCCCAUAUUACCGGUCGUUAGGACCGAAGGGGCAGUCAUGCCUAACCAUGCUAGAUAGAUUAUGUGAUACGUGAUAUGUGGUAGUGGUAGGGGUGAAAUAGUCCCUAGUAUCCGGUCGAGAGGACCGAAGGGGAGAGCAGCACCCAGGUAUGCUAGUCAGCAUCCCGUCGAGAGGACCGAAGGGGAGACCAGCACACAUAUAUGCUAGUCAGUAUCCGGUCGAGAGGACUAAAGGGGUAGGUCGGGUACCCAUAUAUGCCUGACAAUAUAUGUAUGUUAUGUGAUUAUUUGCUAUGUGGUAGGGGGGGGAACUCACUAAGCUUCAUGCUUACGGUUUAUAGUUUUGUUUUCAGGUACCACUUCAGCGAAGGGGAAGGAGUUGGCGCGGUAGCGGCACAUCAUACAUGCACAUUGUUUUCCGCACCAUGAGUCAUUCUAGGAUUUUGUACUCUGAUAUGUGAUAGUUUUCAUAUUUUGGUUUUCAGACACGAUGUAUGUUAUGAAAUGGUUUGAUCAGACAAUGUUUUAUUUACAAAUGUUUUCUAAAGUAUUGAUUUAAAAACUAAAUUUUUGGAUGUGAAAUUUGGGUCGUUACAAGUUGGUAUCAGAACCCUGGUUUGAGGGAUUUGGACACACCUUGGGAGUGUAUGAACUCAAACCAAGGGAUUAAAGGAUUUCGAAAAAAAAAUUUCUAAAAGUUUAAGCAAAGAGUUUUAAGAAUGAACGAAGUGUGUGAUGUGCGCGACCGGCCAAGCUCACGUAAGUAUUCCCCAAAGUACCCAUACAAGUUUAUGUUAUGUUUAACAGUUUCAGUAGAGCAACAUGCUAGAAUAGGACUAAGGAUCUAGGAGUGAUGCCUUAUGUGCCUACUUUAUGUGUUUCAGCUUAUGAGAAUUGCAUGCUAGUAUUGGGUAGACAGUGGUAGGAUAGCCUAAUUAGGUUAUGCUUGGUAGUAUGAGCCUAGCAUUAUGUGCUAGUUCAGCUUCUCAUGUUGAGGAUAGAUUUGUUUGGUUAGAUUUUUCCCUUGUUUGAAUGCUGCUUGCUUUGUGCACUGUGGGAUUCUGAGUAAUGGGAGUUAGCCAUUAGGUGAAUAUGUCACGUCACAUGUGAUCAGGGUUGAAUAAUCUCAGAGUGCUGGAUUUGGCCCUAUUGCGCAGCUCUCGUCUAAGUCUAACCAUAGUAGGGACGAGUCUUCUACUCGAAGGGUUAUCUGAGCCUCGUCACAUGUGAUGGUAUUUAGGUGAUGGUUAAUUGGCAUCACAAGGAGGCCUUCAGCAACUGAGGACUGGUUUGAGUUGAGUCAAAGGUUCCUAGGGUAAGCCUAGGAUCAGAGUAGCAGAGAUCAACAGUGGUAAAAGGGAUCUGGUGGAGUCGAGGCAGUCCUUGAGGAAGGUACGGAUAGAUGUGGAAGGCAGUAUGGGCCCGUACUACUAAAAGCAGAGGAUCCGUACCUGAAUUAAGGAAGGCUAAGACAAGACCGGGGAACUUAUAAUAGAUGUGAUCCCUUAGAGGUAUUAGUAUCACUAAUGGUUUCCUGUGUCUAUUGCAGAAUGGUGGUACUACGUCAGAGGCCAGCAGGUGGCAGUUCUGGAGAUGGAUCGGGUUCGGGAUCAUGUUCCGAGCCAGUAGAUGAGAGGCUACGUGAGUUCAUCACGUCAGAGAUCACCAGAGGCAUCCUUGAGUCGACUCCCAUUAUCUUUGGGUCGAUCAAGGAAGGCAUAGUUGAGUUGAUGGAGGAUCGCCUCAAGGCAUUCAGGAGCGACAUGGCAUCUGGCCAGUCGUGAUCUCGCACACUGUCCUUUAAGGACUUCAGGGGAAGUGGUGCGCCGGAUUUUCACGGGGCGAAGGACCCCAUAGCUGCCAAGUGGUGGAUUGCAGACAUCGAGUAUGCACAGUUGACUAGCUUCUGCCCCGAGGGGUCGAAGGUGAGGUUUGCAGCAGGGUGUUUACGAGACCGAGCUAGAGAUUAGUGGGAGUCCGUCGGUGACGCAUUGGGAGCCUCGGCUGUCGAGGCUAUGACCUGGUCGGACUUUGUGACCAGAUUCAAGGCAGAGUUUGCGUCGGCUAUCGAGAUUCAGCAGCUGGCCAGAGAGUUUUUAGAUAUGAGGUAGAUGGCGGAGACUGUGGCGGAGAUCACAGCCAAGUUCCGGGAGAGGGCGUUGUUAGUGCCCCAGUAUGCAGGUGAUGAGGAUAUGAGGUGGACCCGCUACCAUGACAUGCUACGAGCUGAUAUCCGGGAGCAUGUUAGUUUUCAGCUUGCCCUACCCUGGAUUCCAUGAUUGCCAGGGAUAGGGAAAGGGAGAUUGAUUUGGAGCAUAUCCGAAAGAGGAAGGCUGAGGAGGGACAGGUUACAGGGGCUUCGGGGAAGAAGCCCAAGGGAUCAGAUGCUGGGCCAUAAGGCUAACAGGGACGAGGCCGCUGCAGGAAAUGCGGCAAGACGUACGAGGGAGCGUGCAAGUUGGGAUCGUCAGGUUGCUAUAAGUGCGGCAAGUUAGGGCAUUUUAGUAGGGAUUGUACCGCCCCUGCACCUGUCUUCUCGACGUCUGAGUUCUUGUGCUUCCACUGCAACCAGAGGGGCCACAAGAAGGCCAAUUGCCCCCAGUUGACAGCAGCAUCAGCGCCAGUGAAGGCGCCAGCUCCAGCGACCCUGCGGAUCACAAAUGGCCGGCAGGGCAAGUCGGAGGCUCCAGUGGUGAGGAGACGGACCUUUUAGCUGACUACAGAGGAGGCACGCGCCACACCCGAUGUGGUGACGGGUAUGAUUCUUUAUUUAUGCUUUUAUGUUAUGCUGCUGUAAUUUUGAUAUGUUAUAUGUAUGUGCUCUGCUUAGGAUCGUUCCAUGUGAACGGUAUCCUAGUUCAGGUGUUGUUCGAUUCGAGGCUACCCGAUCGUUUGUUUCUCUUGCGCUUAGCAAGAGGUUUACUGAGUCUUCGGGCAUGUUGGAUUCCACUUUAGAGGUAGAGAUUGCCGAUGAUCAAUCGGUGCGAGCAUCAGCAAUGUUCAGGGAUAGUGUUCUAAGGUUGUUUGAGGAGCGCUACUUGGUGGAUUUGGUUCCCAUUCCGUUGCGUGUGAACAAGGUGAUUAUAGGCAUGGAUUGGUUGAGCCCCAAUAGGGCGGUGAUAGAUUGCGCACAACAGCUGGUGCGGGUCAGGACCUCAAGUAGGGGAGAGUUGGUGAUCCACGGCGAGAGGCCACAACAUGGACCCACAGUAUGUUCAGCAACGAGAGGUAGGCGCUACCUUCAGCAGGGUUGCGCGGGAUAUGUCGCGUACGUUAUGGAUAUCCGGGAGGCGGGUAAGGUGAUGGUGAGCGAGGUUCCGGUGGUUCGAGACUACGCUGAUGUGUUCCCAGAAGAGCUUCCUGGAAUACCUCGGGAGCGACAGGUGGAGUUCGGGAUCGACCUAAUCCCUGGUGCGGCUCCGAUAGCCAAGGCACCAUACAGCUUGGCUCCUCCUGAGACGCAGGAGUUGUCUGCACAGUUGCAGGAGCUGUUAGACAAGGGAUUCAAUGGACCGAGCAGUUCACCCAGGGGAUCCCCGAUUCUAUUUGUGAAGAAGAAGGACGGGUCGCAUCGAAUGUGUAUAGACUAUCGGGAGUUGGACAAGGUAACAGUGAAGAACCGUUACCCACUCCNCCGAGGAUUGAUGACCUCUUUGACCAGCUUCAGGGAGCAUCUUGGUUCUCCAAGAUUGAUUUGCGUUCAGGUUAUCAUCAGAUGAGGGUCAGGGAGGAGGAUGUGCAGAAGAUAGCAUUUCGAACGCGCUAUGACCAUUAUGAGUUCGUGGUGAUGUCGUUUGGGCUCACCAAUGCUCCUGCCGUGUUCAUGGACCUCAUGAACCGCGUGUGCAGACCGAUGAUGGAUCGGUCUGUGACAGUUGUCAUUGAUGAUAUCUUGGUUUAUUCCAAGACGCAGGAGGAGCACGAGGGGCAUCUCCGAGAUGUGUUGGUGACCCUGAGGAGAGAGAGCUUAUAUGCUAAGUUCUCCAAGUGUGAGUUCUGGUUGUGCGAGGUGCAGAUUCUUGGGCACCUUGUCAACCAGGACGGGAUUUCAGUAGACCCGGCCAAGGUGGAGGUCGUGAUGAGAUGGGAGGUUCCGAAGUCUUCAUCCUAGAUUUGGAGUUUCCUGGCUUUAGCGGGCUAUUAUCGGAGUUUCAUCCAGGAUUUCUCCAAGAUAGUCGUACCAUUGACCAGGCUAACAAGGAAGGCCAUGGUCUUUCAUUGGGGGCCUGAGCAGCAGGCAGCGUUCGAGACACUGAGACAGAGAUUGUGCGAGGCGCCAAUAUUAGCCCUGCCAGAGGGCAUAGAGGAUUUUGUUGUGUACUGCGAUGCGUCCAUCUCAGGUUUGGGUGCGAUAUUGAUGCAGAGAAGGCAUGUCAUCGCCUACGCGUCGAGGCAGCUGAAGCCUCAAGAGGCGAAUUACCCGACGCAUGACUUGGAGCUGGGGGCUGUUGUGUUCGCCCUCAAGAUUUUGCGUCAUUACCUCUAUGGGGUUCGCUGUACCAUUUACAUGGAUCAUAAGAGUUUGAGGUACCUCAUGGAUCAGCCGAAUCUAAACAUGAGGAAGCGUCGGUGGUUGGAUGUGGUAAAGGGUUACGAUUGCGAGAUCCUUUAUCAUCCAGGGAAGGCCAAUGUGGUGGCCAACGCGCUUAGCCGUAAGGCAGCACCGAUCCGAGAUAUCUGCCUACGGAUGAUAGUAGUGAGUCCGCUGUUGGAGCGGAUUCGGGAGGCUCAGCAGGAGGAUAUGAAGGAGGAACAUCGAAAGAGUGAGCGCAUAGNUCGACUAUGAUAGCCGAUGGUUAUUGACUCUUCACCGUAGGGUGUGGGUCCCUUAUCAUGGAGGCGUACGUCAGGUUUUGAUGGAGGAGGCGCACAAAUCCCGGUUCUCUAUUCAUCCCGGGGCGACAAAGAUGUAUAGGGAUCUUCGCCUAGACUGUUGGUGGCCCUACAUGAAGUGGGAUGUGGCUUGGUACGUUGAGAGGUGUUUGACCUGCAGGAAGGUCAAGGCCGAGCAUCAGAGACCGCACGACAAGAUGCGGCCGUUGGACAUCCCGUUGUGGAAAUGGGAAGAUAUUAUGAUGGAUUUUAUCACGAAGCUUCCCAGGACCCCGUGAGGAGUGGAUGCGAUAUGGGUCAUCGUGGAUCGAUUGACCAAGAGCGCCCAUUUUAGUCCAAUUCAGGAGAGCAUAUCGGCCGAAAAGUUGGCCGACAUCUAUAUCAGGGAGAUAGUGGCAUGGCACGGGGUGCCAGUAUCCGUGAUUUUAGAUAAGGAUGUGCGUUUUACUUCCAGGUUUUGGAAGAAAUUUCAUAACGAGUUGGGCACUCGUCUACAUUUUAGCACCGCCUUUCACCCGCAGACAGAUGGUCAGAGUGAGUAGACCAUCCAGAAUCUUGAGGAUAUGUUGCGGGCAUGCAUGCAAGACUUCGGUGGUAGCUGGGAUACCUAUCUUCCUCUAGCUAAGUUCUCGUACAACAACAGCUACCACGCGAGUAUUGAUCGACCUCCCUUCGAAAUGUUGUACGUAAGGAGGUGUCGGACCCCGAUAUGUUGGCGUGAGGUUGGCCAGAGGGUCAUGGGGAGCACCGAAGUGGUGCUCAAGACGACUGAGAAGAUUCAGCAAGUUCGGAGCAGGCUUCAGACUGCACAGAGUCGACAGAAAAGUUAUGCCGACAAGCGCCAUUCAGAAUUGGAAUUCCAAGUCGGGGAUAUGGUUUUUCUGAAGGUGUCGCCAUGGAAAGGCGUCAUCCGAUUCAGAAAAUGAGGCAAGUUGGGCCCAAGGUACAUCAGUCCAUUCAGGGUUGUAGCCCGGGUGGGCAAGGUGGCGUAUAGGUUGGAUCUGCCAGCCGAACUCAGCCAGAUCCACAGCACUUUCCACGUCUCGCAGUUGCGGAAGUGUUUGGUGGACGACUCGGCAGUGGUGCCCUUAGAGGAUAUUCAGGUCGAUGACAUCCUGAAUUACAUCGAGCGUGGUGUGGUAAUUACAGCACCGGAAGGGAUCGGAGUGGACUUGGGAGCUGGUGGAAGAGAUGAUGGAGCACUACCCCAAGUUGUUUCAGGAUCGAGCAGCAGACUUCGAGGACGAAGUCUAAAAUAAGUGGGGGAGAUUUGUAGCACCCGGUUCCUGGUACGUAUUCCUUUUAAUUAAUAUUUCGUAAUUAAUGCAAUUUUCCUUGGAUUUGGCGAGUUGAAGGACCAACUCGCCGAGUAGAAGCGGGAUGAGACGCAGGGUUUGAGCCUCGGACUCGGCGAGUCGGUUCCCGGACUCGGCGAGUAGGCCCUGUUUGGGCAAAAACCCUAACCCGAGUGUUUCCACCCUAUUUAAACACUCUAACUCGGCCUCCCCUGUCCCAAACACUUCCAGAAGAGCUGUAGAGCGAAACCCUAGCCCCCUUUUGUCUUUAUGAGUGAUUUUGGCCUUGUGAAGGAAGUUUGAAGCUUAAGAGAAGAAGAAUGAGGUGAAAGAGUGCAAGGAGGAGAAGUAGAUCCGACAUCUACCCUGCAAGAGGCUUCCAUUCAGGUAGAAAAGUCCCUACCUUGAUCUCUAGUUCAUUAAAUCCCCCUUUUGUCCCUAAUUGGUGGUUUUCAAGCCCUAAAAACACCAAACUCCAUGUGUUUUGCUCUAUGAUCCGAAAGGACUUCAAAUCUAUACCUUAUGGGCGUAUUAGAAGUAUAAAGUCUCUGUGGUUGAAGUGAUUGAGGUCCCUAUUGAGUGUAUGACCUUAUAAAGAGCUUGGAUUUGCCUUUUGGAGCUUAUAGGGCCAUGCAUGCACGUAAAGUUUGCAACUUUACGUGAUAAGCGUGCCCUGGGAACAUAGAUCUAUGGUUUGGAAGCGUUACAUGUCUCAGAUUUGGUCUGUAUGGGAAAUGGGUCGAAGGGACUCGACGAGUCCCAAAGUGGAACUCGGCGAGUACUAUGAAGAUGGCCUUAGACUCGGCGAGUUGGAUGAACAACUCGGCGAGUCCGAAGAAGAUUGUCUGGAACUCGACGAGUUGUUCUUCAAACUCAGCGAGUCAUAUGAACUAUUACUGAGUAAGAGGGGUUUAGGUGUUGGCGGUCCAACCCUUCAUAUCUGCACGCGGAAUUAGCAAUUUAACGUGUAGCAGUAGUCCUAGAAACCCAAAUCCUCAUAAAGGAUGCUCUGGUGAGGAUUUGGAAGCGAGUAGGAGAUCGGCUCGUAUGGACUCGGCGAGUUGCUCUUGGACUUGGCGAGUCGGAUCGCGAGUCGGUUCUAUCGUCCCAAGUAGUGAGUUAAGGGUGACUUAGUGAGUGGGAAGAGGGACUUGUAGAGUAGGACCGAGUUAGUAGGAGAAGGACUCGGCGAGUUGGUGCCAUGACUCGGCGAGUCCAGUCAACUGGAAGUUGACUUUGAACAAGGAGUUGACCUUGGACCAGGGGUGGUUCAGUUAUCUGACCUAAGGGUGUUUAUGAGUGGCUAAUCUAUGUUUAUGAUUUAUAGCCGGAGGAUUACCGAUUCAGCAGUCAGGCGCUUAGCAAGCUGACUUUCAGCAGCUACUUUUUGAGGUGAGUUACCUUCCAGUAGCAGUGGGUCUAAGGCCACAAUGCCGACCCACUAGUAGGAGUUGUAUGAUUAGAUGAUUGUCUCUGUGAUAUUCAUCUUGGGUUGCUACUACCUGUGUUAUGUUUAUGUGCUAGUAUGAUAUGAUGCUAUGUGCUAGUGACAGUAGGGGAGAUAGUCCCCAAAUUACCGGUCGAUAGGACCGAAGGGGCAGUCAUGCCCAACCAUGCUAGAUAGAUUAUGUGAUACAUGAUAUGUGGUAGUGGUAGGGGUGAAAUAGUCCCUAAUAUCCGGUCGAGAGGACCGAAGGGGAGACCAACACCCAGGUAUGCUAGUCAGCAUCCGGUCGAGAGGACCGAAAGGGAGACCAGCACACAGAUAUGCUAGUCAGUAUCCGGUCGAGAGGACCAAAGGGGUAGGUCGGGCACCCAGAUAUGCCUGACAAUAUAUGUAUGUUAUGUGAUUAUUUGGUAUGUGGUACGGUGGGGUUACUCACUAAGCUUCGUGCUUACGGUUUAUAGUUUUGUUUUCAGGUACCUCUUUAGCGAAGGGGAAGGAGCUGGUGCGGUAGCGACACAUCAUACACGCACAUUGUUUUCUGAACCAUGAGUCAUUUUGGGAUUUUGUACUCUGAUAUGUGAUAGUUUUCAUAUUUCGGUUUUCAGACACGAUGUAUGUUAUGAAAUGGUUUGAUCAGACAAUGUUUUAUUUACAAAUGUUUUCUAAAGUAUUGAUAUAAAAACAAAAUUUUUGGACGUGAAAUUUGGGUCGUUACACUUAAAUUGAAAGGUUUUGGAUGGUUGGGGGCUGUUUGGUAAUUUAUGGGUCGAAUUUGAAAAGGAUUUUCGAGGCUAGGGUAGAAAGGGUAAAAUAUGGCCUCAUUUUGAAAGAAUAAGAAAAGGGAGGGACCAAAGUUGUUGUUAUGGAGAAAAGUUUGAUGGGCUACGAGACUAUAAAACCCAUCACCCAUUAACCCUAACACUAGCAUGAAGGCAGCCGCCAUCAUCGAAAGACCUCCAGCAGCCACCCUCACCUCUUCUCCUCUCCAGCCGUCGGAGGUUGAUGUUGUGGAUCACCGCUGCCGUUCCUUGAUCAGUUACGUCGCCGCCUCCCCUCUCUGCUAUCAAGGUCGCAAAUGGCGCUGCCGGUAAGGACGUAUUUGCCAAGGUCCCAUGGCCGCCGAUAGAGAAAAGACCAUAUCGAUCAUUCUUCCCCGUUUCUGUUCCGGUGGUAUGCUGCUACUAUUCCAUUGUCAUCCGACCGCCACCUCCCUGCUGUUACCACCAUACCCUCCGCCACAACCAUCACCAUGGAAGACGAAGGGCCGCCAUGGAGCGCCAAGGCAGUAUGUGACCAGAUGAGACCCUUGGUUGGUCGUCGUCGAUGGUUUGCUGCCGCCAACAUGAAUUAGCCGCCUGCUCCGACUGUCGUACGUCGCCACGCGAAGGUUGUGCUGGAGUGUUGUAUGUAGUCUAAGGUUUAUGUGUGUGAAUUUGUCAACCCGGGAAGCUGAGGACCGCCACUGCCACCACCGUGAGGUGGUGGCUGCCGCCUGUGUGUGUUCAUUUUGUUUAGUGUGUAUGUGUGAUUUUUUUUGAUUUUUAGCAUUGUAUUGUGUAAAAUUACAAAUUGGAAUAAUGAAAGGAAAAAUCAAACCACCACCGUGAGGUGGUGGCUGCCGCCUCCUAUCGCCACCGGCCGCCGUGUCGGGUGGCGGUGUGCCUUGUUGGAUAGUGACUAGUUUGGGAUGUUUGGACAAGGGACUAAAACCUUAGUGGGCCUUGUAAUCCCUAAUGGGCCCAAUGAAGCUUAAUUGACCUAAAAGCCCAAGCAUGUAACUAAUGGGCUUUGUAAAACCCUAAGGGGCCUAGUGGAAUCAUAAUGGGCCUAAUGAACCUUAAUUGAUCAAAAUACAUAUCAAUUGGGCCUAUUGGGCUAAGAUGGGGUUGGAAACCCUAAUUAGGUUUUAGAAAACCCUAAUUUUGGAUUUAUGGGCUUGGACUUAUUGGGACCCACUUUUGGGCCAUUGGAAUGAAAUUGUGUGAUUAUGCCCAAUCACACCAUAUGACUUAUUUAGAAGAAUGAUGGACUUAAUCGAUUAAGUCCUUAAUGGAUUAAGUCUUUAACGGGUUAAGUGAGAAAAUCUUAACCCUAAUUGUCAUUUUAUGUGGAAACCCUAAUAUCACUUGGGUUUUACUGAUUGGCCUUUCUAAUGGGCCUUCAUGAUUGGGUUAUUAAUGGCCCAUCCAAAGUCAAGUAAUUGGACUAGAAUAAUUAAUGGGCUUUGAGGUAAGGCCCAUAUGAGGAGUUGGGCCCAAUUUGGAAAAUUAGGCCAUAGACGGACCACAGUUUGGGCCUUAAUGAUUCUAUGAUGUCGGGCAUUAGAAUAAGACAAUGUAUAGGUCUGGGGCCCAAUUUGGAAAAUUGGGCCAUAUGUUGGACUUUGGCCUAUUAUUUGAUUAUUUGGGCUUUUAGAGUGUGAGUUGGACCUUGGUCUUGGAACCCAAUUAUUAAUUGGGUGUUGUUUGAUGUUGACAGCUCGAGAAUCUGUCAACCAAUAUCUGGAGUUUUAUCUGUGGGACUUCAGCAAUGCCAGGUGAGUUAUUCUCGCUAUACUCAAGGGUCUAAGGCACCAAGGCCGGCCCUUUGAAUUGUUACUGGUUGUGUUAUUCUAGUAUGAUUUGUUAGAUCGGUAUCCUAGAGGGUUGGAUGAUAAUAUGUGAUAUGUGGUAUGACCUGUUAGUUAGACAUCCUAGAGGGUAGGAUAAUAUUAUAUGUUAUGUGGUAUGAUCUGGUAGACCAGUUUGUUGUCUAUAGACUGUUAUGUGAUUGUCUGUUAUAUGUGCACAUGUUUGUUUGGCGGUUGAGGUUUAUCUGCUUUGUGCGAAAGCCAAUAGACCUGGGCAUUCCAACCUGUUGGUUGUGGGCCGUGAGUAUUCCAUCCCGAGGAUGACUAGACUCAUAGUAUGUGGGCAUGCCAACAUGUUGGUUGUGGGCCUAGGGUAUUCCAACCUGAUGGUUGAUUGGACCCAUAGUGUGUUGGCAUUCCAACCUGUUGGUUGUGGGCCUAGGGUAUUCCAACCCGAUGGUUGAUUGGACCCAUAGUAUGUUGUUUAUGAUUAUAUGUGUAUUGUUGUGGGUAUGAGUAUAUUGGGGGAAGUCACUAAGCUUUCGGGCUUACAGUUUUAGUUUAUUGUUUUAGGUGCAUCAGGGGAUCGUGGCAAGGCAAAGGCGUGAUCGUACAACUCCUCGUAGUUCAUGAUUUUAUGAUUUGAUUCAGGGGAUACUCUGAUGAUUAAACUAUUUUGAAAACAAACUGUAAUAACUUAAUGGUUUUAAAUGUUCUAAAAUUUUUUAAAUUGGAUUGAAUUUUAUGGGUGUUACAAGUUGAUAUUAGAGCCUUGGUUUGAGUGAAUUGGAGGAGCACUCGUAUAACUCCAGUCUCAAAUCAAGGAAAGGAUUUUCAAAAUGAUUUUUAAAUGGUUUUCAAAAUAAGUAAAGGAGGAUACAGGGUGUACGAUCAACCGGAUCCAGUAAGUAGACCCCAAAAUACCAUACAAUAUUUGAUUAUGUGAUAUGUUAGAACAACAUGCUAGUGCUAGGCUAGGGAUCUUCAGGAAUUGCAUGAUAGGAUUGCUUGAUUACAUGAUGCAUGCUAGCCUAGGGUUUCCUUUAUAUGAGAUUGACAUCAUUACUGUAGUUGCUUAGUGUAUGCAUCACGAUUAUGCAUAAUUAAGAUCUUAUAGACUGAGAAUGCUUGAUUUGGCCUUAUGUUCUGUUCUUGUUUGAUUGGGAGCUUAGGGUGGGAUUGGAUAUUCGAAAGUCUAUAGGCCAGAGUUAUNUGGCUAGCAUACACUAGUGUUGCAGGGUUGGUGGAAGUUUCAUGGAUGGGUGGGUUGUGUGAGGUCGGGAGGCCAGUUAUGUAAUAUUUAGUAUUCCUCUAGGAGUGAGGAUUGAGUGCUCGCUAUGAUUAUGUAUAUUGUUAGGGUGUUGUGGUGAUACUUGAGACAAAUAUGGGUAGGUGUGGAAGGUAGUAUGGGCAUGUACUACUGAAAGCACAUGACACAUACGCGUAGCAAGGAAGUCACAACCCCUAGGGUUGGGCUUGUGAGUUGGUCCCCGAUCAUUAUAUGGAUUAUCAGAGAUAUUUAUGGUAUUUUACCAGAAUGGUGGUUACGAAACGUAUUGAGAAUGGAUCCGGGUUAGGAUCGGGGAGCUGGUAGCCAGGAUAGGCCAACAUUGUCAGAGGAUCGUGUCAUUGGGAUCAUCUGGGAGGAGGUGAUCGAGAUUGUCCAGGGACAGUUGCCGGAGAUGUUUGGGUCUAUCAAGACGGCCAUGGUUGAGUAAUUCACCGAGCACUAUGCAGCCAUUGCUGAGACGGUUGUCGCGGCAGCUAUAGCAGCUGUAACGAUAACAAGAGGGAGGAGCUGGUUGAGCUUUCCAGUACCGGGACUUGUUACUGGGACAUAUUCUGAUGAGCAGAGGGUUGCAGUUACUUGGGACUAGGGAGAUAUUCUGUACUCGUUACAUUCCGCUAGUUGAGAGGGAGAGUCUAGCACAUGAGUUUCUAGAUUUGAGGCUUUGGGGGUUUUGCUUGAGGCCGGAAUGUGAGUUGCGAGGACUCCGGAAAGGAGUGAUGUUUAUGUUCAGCUGGGGUUUUGCACCUGGAAGUGGAAUGGUUAAUUGAUGGAUUGGAUUGUCGUUUUCUAGAGUAAGGAUUGUGCCCUCUCAGUUUUUCGAUCUCAAAGGAGUGAGCAGGCUUGUGACCCCAGGAUCAGGUUGUACUCUAGCUCGUGUUUAGUUGGUUGCAGGGAUAGACAACAUUAUUUCAGCGUCGGUGAGCGCAGGUGGGUCGAUAUGGCAUAAGUAAUUUGUGAGGUCCAGUUUUCCUUGGAUCUCAUGUAUCAGACAGUAAGGAAUGAUUGUGCGAUCUAUUGCACUUUUGGGAUUGUAGACUAUGUCCUGGUAGUAGUUUGUGGCCGAUUUGGGGCAAGGUUGUUUCAGCUACUGCAGUUCAACUAUGGAUGAUCGAGCUGGUGAGUGAGUUAGGGUGCGAGACUCUGAAUGAUAUGAUUUCUGGAGCCGAGAGCAGAAGAUUUCUUGGAGUACUUUGGGAAGAAGGGCAUUAUGUGGGAGGUCUGUGGAUGGGGUCCCACAUGAUGGUUAUUCAGCAUUGUCAGAAUUCAGUGGUUUUAGUAACUGUUAUUGAUUGACGGAUGAAAGCGCCAAAGGAAGUAGCUCGUUGUUAAGGUGUUUAUGGGAGUAUCUGUCUUUUGGUCUUCAAGAUUUGAGUGUGGGAUCAUUAAAUUAUUAGGGACUGUCAGUUUUACUGGAAUUCAGGAAGUGUUCAUCUAGUUAUUAAAGGCAUGUGAUCAUUUGGGAUUGGCUAGUAAAGGAGUACUAAUUCGAAAGGUCUGGUUGUCAUGAGAUUGAUCGUUGGAAAGUAAGAAGGAUUGGGAAUUCCAAAAUUUUCAUGUAUUAUGAAGACUUAGUUGAAUCUAAGUGGGAGAGAAUCUUCCCGGAACGCAGAAGCAGGAUCGUUUUUAAAACUGGGAUAAGUUUUGCAUCGUUGUUAGGAAGGAGGACAAGCCAAGUGGUUGUUCGGGUUUGAGGGUUGUAUAAGUUAGGAGUCCAGUAAAACUCCCCAGCAUGUAAAGUGCGUCUUCUCGAUGCUUGAUAACAGAACUUGGGGAAUUAGGUUGGGGUUCUAGCCAUGAAUUAAGCUUAGUUGUGUGUUAGGUCAAGUGCAUGUUCGACCGGUAUGGAAAGUGUUGUAAGACUGCGGGGGUAGCCGUAGCAUUCACUAGCAGCAAAUAGUGCUAGAGUGAUGUAAGUCUGUGGGUGUAGCCGUAACAUUUACUAGGUUGGUAGAUAGCAUGAGCGCGUUGUUAGGAUGCGGAAGGGUCAGUAGUAACCACCAGUUCAGGUGUAGCAGUGAGGAUAUGGAAACCCAUGGAUUGGAUUUCGGAAUUACCCAGACAGAUAGGAUCGGGUUGAGCCAGUGAUAGGAUUGUAGGAACGCCACUAUAGUUCAGAGAUCAAGGAAGCAAGGAAUUGCUUAAGGUCGUUUGUGAUAAAAGUCUACCAUUGGUCUGGUAGCAAUCAGUUUUAGCCUUGGAUUUGGUGACGUCAGGAUUUGACGCAUGGGUCCGAUUGGUUGGAUCAGGAAGUUGUUAGAGUCGUAGUGGCAUGAUAACUAUUGGCAACUAGUUCCAAGGAAGGAUUUCGUUCGGAAGUCGUGUGAGGCAACUAUGUGGGAAUGCUUUAGCUCCGCGACCGGGCCGGAACCCGGUAUUUCGGAUGAGUGUUACUUGGUUGUGGCGAAUCAGAGGAUUUUUUGGAUGAGAUGCAAGGAUAGGACCUUGGAUUUCAAGUUAUGGGUUAGACUCGAGUUAUGUAUAUAGUGGUAUUCCAAUCUAGGGUAUUCCAUCAUAAGGAUGAUCGUACCCUACGAUUGAGUGGACCAAACAUGUGUGUGAUACGAGGGUAUUCCAUCCUAGGGAUGACUGGACCAAUCGUAGACAUGCCUGGUAUUCCAGCCCAAGGCUGAUUGGGCCAGGUAUGAGUAUUUGUGCUUAUGAGCCGAUUAUUAUAUGUAUGUGAUUUGGGAACUAAAGGAAAUAUUGUCUUGUUGAUCCAAAAAGUGGUUCAUCUCCCAGUUUUCACCCCGCUGUUCUUUAUAUCCCUGGGAAUUGAUUUCCAGAAUAAGUUUCUCGUGAAGGAGUACGUAAUCCCUUGUCAAGAAAAAGAUCAUAGUUAGCAGUGUGGGAUUUGUGAUUCUGUUUUCUAGUGGGAACCUCAGGUUAUCAGAAGUUGAGCAGCCAGUUGGGGGUUAAGUGCAAUGCAUUCGAAAAUGAUCCGGUGUGGGCAGUUUGUCAGAGAGCCAGACCAUCUCGAGACUCUAGAUUUCAGAUUGAGUAAAUGUGAUCAUAUGGUAAGGGAUUCAUUUAUUUUCCUGGUUUUAGAACCCUGAGAGGGUUGGAUAUGGUUGCCUUGGAGAGGUAAGAGUUUUGCUCGGGGUUAUAGCCAAGUAGCUCAAGUUGUUUGGCAUGUAAGGAAUGAUAAGAAAUGAUUUUGAGGACUAAAUCAAAUUGAAGUGGGGGAGAGUUGUAACACCCCGUUUUAAAUAGAAUAAUUAAAUGGUUAGUGGGGUGUUGGUUUUGGGAAGUCAAAUGGCAAGAAUUGAAUCUCCACGGGUUAAAGUGUAAUUUAGGGACUUAAUUUUUAAAGGUUUUCAUAAGUCAAGGAGUGUUUGGUAUUAUUUGGGCUUAAUAUGUAAAGAACUAUGGAUACAGGGGUAAAGAGUAAAUAUCAGACUUAAAUUGAAAGGUUUUGGAUGGUUGGGGGCUGUUUGGUAAUUUAUGGGUCGAAUUUGAAAAGGAUUUUCGAGGUUAGGGCAGAAAGGGUAAAAUAUGGCCUCAUUUUGAAAGAAUAAGAAAAGGGAGGGACCAAAGUUGUUGUUAUGGAGAAAAUUUUGAUGGGAUACAAGACUAUAAAACCCAUCACCCGUUAACCCUAACCCUAGCAUGAAGGCAGCCACCAUCGUCGAAGGACCUCCAGCAGCCACCCUCACCUCUUCUCAUCUCCAGUCACCGGAGCCAACCCUACUACGUCAAAAAGAAAGCAAGACCGUCAGAGGUUGAUGUUGUGGAUCACCGCCGCCGUUCCUUGAGUAGUUACGUCGCCGCCUCCCAUCUCCGCUGUCAAGGUCGCAAAUGGCGUUCCUGGUAAGGACGUCUUUGCCAAGGUCCCAUGGCCGCCGAUGACAACAACCUUUACUAUCGCUGUUACCAGUCGCGGAUAGAGAAAAGACCCUAUCGAUCCUUCUUCCUUGUUUCUGUUCCGGCGGUACGCUGCUACUAUUCCAUUGCCAUCCGACCGCCACCUCCCUGCUUAGGAGUGCUGAUCGGGUAAUUUUUUCGGGUAAUUUGGGUUUAGGUAGUUCGGGUAUUACCCGAAAUAUAUAAUUUUUUUUUUUGAAUUUCACCUAUAAAUAAAUUUAAUGAAAUAAAUACGUCGUGCUUUAUUAGUCGUGUUUAUAUAAACAAACGAGAAAUAAACAAACUUACUCAAGCUUUGAACAUUGAGAUUUUUUAGUCAAUAAUACCUGAGAUAUCAAGUAAUUUUUUAACAACUUAAUCUAAUCUAAUAAGAUGUUAAAAAAACAAAUACUUAAAGAUCUUAAUUUAAAAGUUUAAAAUGUUUAAGAUAAUUGUAGCCAUAAGUUUUUUUAUGUUUUGAAGUUUCGUCAAGAUAAUGAGUUUGUUAGUUGCAAUAAAAACUAUAAUCUAGAAAACAGUUAAGUUUUAAAGAACAUGAUGAUAUAUAAACAAUUACUUUUAAUAUUGUUAGUGUCAUAUUGUCAUAAUAAAUAGAUUCAUGUUUUUACAAUAAUGAUAGUUAAUUUAAGCAUGAUCAAAUACCUGCUAUAUAGUACAAGCUCUAAAAAUAAGGAAUUUUUAAAAUAAUUCGGGUAAUUCGGAUAUACCCGAAACCCAAACAAUGUACCCUUUACCCGACCCGAAAAAAAAAUUGGGUUACCCAAUUACCCGAAAAAAUUUACCCGAUACCCGAUUUACCUGAUACCUGAAAAAAUCGGGCGGGUAAUUCGGGUAUCGGGUAUUUUCAACAGGGUUGUCCCUGCUGUUACCACGCCACAACCAUCACCGUUGAAGACAAAGGGCCGCCAUGGAGCGCCAAGGCAGUAUGUGACCGGAGGAGACCCUUGGUUGGUUGUCGUUGAUGGUUUGUUGCUGCCAACGUGAAUCAGCCGCUUGCUCCGACUGUCAUACGCCGAAACGCAAAGGUUGUGCUGAAGUGUUGUAUUGUGACAACCGUCAAACUCUGGUCAAGUCAAAGUCAACUAAAGUCAACAAGUCAAACCGGUCGACUCAAUUAACCCUUGGGUACUAGGGCUUACGUUAGGUAAUUACUAUACAACUCGCUAUUCCAAUGAGAAAUCAUCAAUGGAAAAGUUCGUAUAUCUAGAUUUCAUUAACCUAAAACUGCGUUAAGUAAUGAACCAAACCGAUAAAACAAUGUUGCGUACUCAUCAGGAGUGUGUAAGAUUCUUAAACAUGGCUUAACGGGGUUUACGGACCUUGCGUUGCGAAGCCGGACACUCAUAAAUGUCACACACGAAACCUCUCUCAAUCGUUUUCACUAUAUGUCUCUUUAUUUAGAAUCUCUCCCAAAUCUCUCUAAGUAUGUGAAAUCUCUCCCAAAUCUCUCUCAGUAUGAGAAAUCUCUUCAAGAAUGUCAAAUCUCUCCCAAAUCUAUCCAAGUAUGUGAAAUCUCUCCCAAAUCUCUCUCAGUAUGAGAAAUCUCUUCAAGAAUGUCAAAUCUCUCCCAAAUCUAUCCAAGUAUGUGAAAUCUCUCCCAAAUCUCUCUCAGUAUGAGAAAUCUCUUCAAGAAUGUCAAAUCUCUCCCAAAUCUAUCCAAGUAUGUGAAAUCUCUCCCAAAUCUCUCUCAACUUUUCGUAAUUAUUUGGGGCAUCUCGACCCUCGAAUUUGAUGAAAACAGCUCGAAAACGGAAGUCUACGCGAAAAACAGCCUUAAGGAGCCGAAACUCCUCUUAGGAACCGAAACUCCUCUUAGAGCCGAACCUCAUGAGAACCAAAACCCUCUCAACCGAAAUGGACCGAGCACUCGGUCUAUUUCGGUCCCCUGAUCAUUUCGAAGCGAGACUCUGCCCUUCCCACCUUCGGCCCGAGAGGGCUUGACCUUCAGUCCGAGGACCUGACUCUCGGUCCCUUCUGAUGAGCAUGUCUGCGAGACCUCUCGGUUCCCAUGCAUCCGAGCCUCACCUUCGGUCCGAGAGGCGACCUGCGCAGCCGAACCCUCCUCUCUCGGUUUCUUCUCCUGCUCUCGGUUCUAAGCUCCUAAGGAGCCGAACCUUCGCAUCCUCGGCCCAAAUUUCGGAAUUUGGCAGUUUUGCCUGGUUUUCAAUAUUUUUAGUGUUUUGAGCCCGUUUUUUGAGAUUUUAACGCGGGAUUUUCACCCAAACUCGUAUUUUAACAUAAUAAACCCCAAAUAUUCGUAUUUUAAUUAUAUUUUGGGGAAAAUCCUUGCCUAAGAAUAAAAUCUAGUAGGUAAGAUUUAAGGGUGGAGUGUUGACUUUGCCUUAGUGUAUGACACAAGCAACCUCCCCACAACUUCAUAAUACAACCUCUAGUCACUAUUUGUGUUAGAUCUUCAAAUCUUCAAGCACCUCUCAAGUGUUCUUGAGUUGAACACUUCUUUUCUCCAUCAUCCAUCUACUGAAAUCACUCAAGGUGAGUUCAUACCCUUAUCUUUUCAUGUUUUUCUCAAGUUUUAAAGGGGGGGGGGGGGGGGGAAUACAAGUUAAAACACCAAGAACACAACUAAACUUAUUUAACAGCCUUCAUCAGAAAAGUUCAACUUCAUUCACCGACUGUUUUGGGCAACUUAAAAAUUUUAGUUUUCAAAACUGUUUUAGGUGCAAGUCUUUACAGUUCUUAGCUUUAAAAUGACUACUUGCACACCUCCAUACGAUUUUUCUACAAUUUAUGGUGAUUUUUACAAAACUGCCUAUCAUUUCAAGAGCAAAUCUGGACCAGUCUGUGAUUAUAGACUUUUUCACACAUGUUGUAGACCAUUAAAAAUCAUGACCAAAUUUAUGAACAAACUAGACUCAUUCCUCAAACUCUCAAAACUUAUGGAUUCUGAUUUGGACCUUUGAUAAUUUUUCUAUAAAUUUUCUAAUAACAGAAAAGAAAAUGUUAACAACAGAAAAAUGCUAUCAAUUUCAUUUCACCUUGUAACAUGUUGAGCAAGGUGUAUAUCUUUAUGUGAAUAUAUGUUAUUGCAAAUAGAUGACAUUUUGUCUUAGUAUAUAGUCAUACAUCAGAAAACAAAUGGAUUUUUACCUACAAAAGUAUGGUAAUUAAUUAGUUGUUAUAUUGCAUGUGGCUUCACUUUAGAAAAAGGUAUAUCUACAUAUCGGUAAACAAAAGGGUUUUUACCUUCACAAAUACAGUAGUUAACCAUAAUAAACAAAGUUAUAACUAUUACAUUUGAAUAUUUUGAUAAACUAUAAUAGGUAUGGUUUAUGUUUCUAUUAACACAACAAACACAUUUUAGAAGGUUCUAUUCCCACAGAUAAAGGUUUUACACUCACGCACACCACAUGUAAACUUGUUAACUUAAAUCAUGAGACAUUCUUCUCUAUACUCCUAGAGUACGGGUUAAAAUUCCUGGUAGUUAUAACCAGAGUCUCUUGUAGGGAGAACGUGAUAGUUGUGUAUAGAUCUACAUUGGGUUUGACACCCCACACCUUGUUGCUAGCUACAGUGGGACCUGCAGGUCUACGGUUGACAAAUGUCAUAACAGUUUUCGACGCCUGAUAAACGUCGUGGCAGGUUCAUUAAGUCGUAGUAUGGUUAUAGCGGCUCAUAUAGGGAGUUAACAACACGUAAAGUUUACGGGGAUUUUCAUAAAUCAAAAGGGGUUUUAUGUCGAUUUAAAAUCACUUUUUAUAUCAAUAAUUACAUAUAUUAUUGUAUACUUUCGUUCUUGGUAUUUAAGACUACACACCAUUCAUUACGGGAUUUUUCUCAUAUUAGAAAGGGUUUUACGCCAAUUUAAAACCACUUUUAUAUCUUUAAGUUUGACAAAUACUUGUUCAUUCUCGGUCUUGGUAUUUAGGACCACAUAACUUUUAUAAGGAAAAUAUUGGAUUUUUCUUGGAAACAUACAACUCAUUACAAGGAUUGAUUUUCAAGCUCUUACUAUCAAAAGCUUAUGAACUCACCAACUUAAUUUUUGACACUUUUUCAAAACUACUUGUAUUCUCAGGAAUCAAUGAAAUAGGAAAUCAACAGCGUUUUGAGGAUGUGACGAUAAAUCGUCAAACAGUUCAUUUUGUUAUCAUAAUGUAAUUGAUUUGAAUCAUGUAAACAUAUGCUUUGGUGUAACUUUUUCAAUUAUAUUUAUGAAUGGUUGUAUUUACUUUGAGCACUAUCAUACUCGUUGUUGUGAUAGUAUACAUAAAGUCCGCCACCCCCGGACGUUUCCGCCAUCCUUGGUUUGGGGGUGUGACAAAUUGGUAUCAGAGCACAGUUUAUAGUGAAUUAAGUAUAUCGAACCACAUAAGAUAUACAAACUAUAAACACAUUUGGGACUAAAAGUCUCUGAUUUUAAAACGUUUUAAUAGGGUAUACUUUUAGAAAAUAAAUAGUUUUCUUGUUUAAAGUAGUCAUACUUGGAUUCAUACUAACCUACGUGUCACAAUGACCAGAACAAAAGUAUUACAAUUGUUGAAUAUCAUAGGUAAGCUCGGGGAUGUAUGAUCAGUCUUGGGAGUGGCAUAGCCUGAUCAACUAUGCUGGUCCGAGGAGUGAUUAGCACAUGCCCAAGAAUGGUUGUGAUAUGGCGACAAGUCUAAAAACUUACCAACACUACCACAACGAGAACAUUAGAACAGAACAUGGGUUUAAAAUACUAUGGGAGUAUUUUGUGUUACUAUAAGUGCUUACAUGAGAACUAAACAGGUCUCUAUCAAGUAGGUCAAUAGUUGUUAAGUGGAUACGCUAACGUUAUAUGAAAUUUAGGCGUUAUAGACUCAGAAUCUAUGACCGUUGCUUUACUUCCUGUUCUCGUUGGAUUGUGGAUUUGGAGUUAGAGUCACCUAUUCGAAGGACUAUCUUGCCUUGAUUUCAUAUAACUGGUAUACACUUAGAGAUGCACAAACCCAGGAUCCGAUCGGAUCCGGUCAACAAUCCGAUCUGGUCCAAUCCGAUCCGAAUCCGGUCAAAAUCCGAUCCGAAUCUGGUCAACAAUCCGAAUCCGAUUUGAAACCGGUUUGAUCCGAAUUUUGUUAGCUUUUACCAAAUUUUUCGACGGUUUAAGAACCGGUUUUUGUAGAAUCCGGUUUGUGAUCCGGGGGUCAAUCCGAUUUCGAGUCCGAAAAGCCAAACCGGUUUUAAUCCGGUCACCGGUUUAAUCCGAUCCGGUUUGGUCAAAACCGGUUUUGACCGAAACCGGAUUUCGGAUCGAAUCGGUUUCAUUUCGAGGAUCUGGAUUUUGUGUUCAUCUCUAUAUACACUACACAAGUAUUGAUAUAAAUGAUACAGAUCAUCUAAUAAUUACCUAGAUAGUUCGUCCAAUAAUUAUCUUCUUACUCCUAUUCUCGCACGUAUAACAUAGCAAGAUCCUACUUACUAGACGACCCCUACUUUCCCAACCAGAGAAAUGGUGAAUGGUUAUGAGAAGAAUCAGAAGCGGAACCGGAGGUAAUCAACCCUCCAUGCAUAGCUAGGGUUGUCGUGAAUCGUUUCGACUACAUCGAACUUGUGCCCCGUUGGGCAACCGUGAUCGAGGGUUGAAGUCGACAACAAUGACAACGAUCACCAUGUGGGGACCAACGAGGGUGCUAUGACCUCAUCCACGGGGGACUGACUGACAGAGCCCUCCCGACGAAGACCUGGUAGAUCGCGAACAUCGGGGAUUAAAACAGGGAGACUGCAAACCGAGUUCGAAAAUUACACGCUACUACAGACCCCACCGUCUCACGUAGCCGAGACUCGGGAAGAGACUACUAUUUCAGAGACCAACUCUCUUUUCAGGACCUUAUCGCCACUCGGACAGAGGCAAGAGAGUAACAGGGUAGACACACGUCAUUCAAAGAGAGGAUGAUUGCAGCCAAGCAUCGAUUGGCAAAGCUGCAAGGUGCAUCGACUUUGCCUCGGGCAUCACAAGGGACGGAUCGUCAUGAGUAGGUUCAUACCACUCACAAGACCUUGUAAAUUAAGUUCAUGAGUAUGCGUUGGUGCUACUCUAUUCUAGGUGAAAGCACGACACUGCAAUUUAAGUAGUCAUACUAAUCGAGAGAUCUAGUUGCUAUCAAAACUUUUCCUUGCAUGGAUGUGAGACAGACCUGCAUCGAGGUCAAAAAUUUUCGCUGAAACCAUAAUUACUAGAAUCAUAUUAACAAGAUGGGCUUAGGACAUACCUAACAGACUCGAAGGUCUAUUUAGUCUUAAUUAUAUAACUAAGCAUACAUCAAUUGGUCAUAAUAGGGACCUAGCUUGGGUCAAAUUACAAGAUUUCACUUAGAUACAGAACUACUAAAAUACAUGAGUUUACCAUAUAAAGACUCUUGUUAUAAACUGUUUUUAGAACACCCUUAACAACCGAAAUACGUUACAAAUUGAACUAAGAUCGAUAAACUUAGUUAGAAAACUCGUGACAUAUAGCCAUUCUAAAGACUCGUUACCGUCUCUCCCCUUAAACCUUAUGAUUGAUGGGAUGCUUUCUUCGUAGACCUAUAGGGUGCGAUCAUACCAGCACUAAGGCACCGGAUCCCAUCAAAACUCCUCAGCUAAGUGUGCUUGGGCAAACAUGAUCCUAAGAUGAGUAAAGCUUAACACCUGUACGCAACCUACUUCUACCCACUACCAUAACUCCGUCUUAAGAACGUUAGCAAAGACACUAAGAAUAAUACAGCAAUGUACAAAAGUUAUAUAUGUGAAUAUAAAUCGUAAAAGUGCACUUUAGAUAAUUACCCCCACUUACGAAGUUGUCUUCAUCGUGAAAUAGAGCUAUGUCUUCACCAAGAGGCAACCAACCAACUAGCAAGGCGCCAACCCUACAAAUAGAUUCUGCUACUUUUCAAGCUGUAGUCACGGCAGCCGUGACAGCCGUCAUGGUGCAACUCAAUGCUAACAAUCCCAGCAGAGAUGGAAACGGUGCCGACAAUACAAAUUGUUGUAACAAACAGGAACACCGGCGGGUGUCUGCCCAUGAAGGGGCCUCAUGCAACAAAACUACGAACAAGAAGCAAAAGUUUUGGAACAAAAAGGAACGCAACCAAUCUCAAAGAUUCGCUAAAAGACAACAACCCAUGGCCACCCCUGCCGUUACAACAGCAGUCACGCCACAUGCCUCGACAUUAGCCACAAGAGCUGUCAUCCAAGCACCGACCAGACCAUAUAAGGGAUCACUUCCAAAGUGUAACAAAUGUAACUACCAUUGUAUAGGAGCUUGUUGGAUUCCACACUAUAUCAACUGCAACAGGAAAGGACAUACCGCUCGCUCCUGCAGAACCCCGACUCAACACAUCAGUUCCACCACCAAUACCAAUGUAAGUCCAGCAUGCCAACUAUGUGGUGAAAUGGGACACUUCAAGAGAGACUGCCCAAUGGAGAGGAAUGACGGGAGAGCCGGAGGAGUGUGACAAACGAACCAUCAAGGGUAACAAGGAAUCUUAUUAGGACUUUUUUAAUAUUUCCAAACGACAAAACAUUUAAGUACCAUAUGUUUGUAAUGAAUUCGGUAUGCUUGCUAGAAUUUCAUCCUUCAAAAAGUAGUUAAGGUACUCUCUCAUUUAAAUCAAAUCAAAGACACUCAUAUAUGGCCUUAAAAUCAUUACCUGUAAGCUGUGAUGACUUUGUACACACAUCGGGGUAAUUCUAAUCAAAAUACUAAAGACAUAAAGCAAAUAAUUCCGUUUUGACAUCAUGUUCCAUGUCUAGAAGUGGGAUUAGGGUAGAGCCACCCACUCGACGAUUCCACCAAUACCAAAUUUACAUACGACGUACAUAUACCGCCCGAUCAUGGAGUGACCGUCAGGGGUCAUGAUAUCAAGUGUCAUUACUAGCUAUUGGAACACACCCACUACCAGUGCUAGGCACUGUGGUAUGAAUCAUCUACAGUAACAAUAACAUCGAACAAAACGGAACACACUAAAAAGAAACACAAGAUACUCCAUCACUCCAGCGAACACUCUGUAUGAAUGCAGAUUAACACAUGUUCUACCUAAAAAGAUACUAUUGUCAUCAUUCGAUCUCAAAUGGUAUAGUUCUCCACCUUCCCGAUUAAACGGCUAUGAAAGGACCCUUCACGUGAACCAUCGAAUAUCAAAACCUUCACCUCCUAUAAACACAUCCAGCGCGGACCUCCGGGUCAUCUCUCACUGUGAAAACCCCAAAACACUCACUAGAGGAGUGUUAUACCUUCCGAAACCUUAUAACAAGUAUUUCCAGGAGACCCUUCGGGAAUGUCACAGAUACAACAGACAAGGUUCAAGCACAGAAGCUUGGGAUGGAUACGGUUAGUCUACCACUACUACGUGUAUACGUGAGGAUAAUGUAUAAUUAAGAUUCUAUGGACAUUGGAUGUGUGCUUCCGCGCUAUUUCCUGUUCCUUGUCUGGUUGUGGACUUGGGGUAGAGUCGCUCAUCCAACUGUCUUGCCAACCUUAAGUACAUACGACCUAUAUGCUCAAGUUAAUGAUAGAUGGACCAGGUACGAGUCUUGCCAUGAACUUCAGGUCAAGGUUGCCCAAUAGGACGAGUGAACGUCCUACCAUCCGAACAAGUCUAGUCGCGUAAACCAACCCCUCAUGCUUCCUACCGAGAUAAGCAAUCGAGGAACACUACAUCAGGCCCUAUGCAACGCUCCAAGGAUAAGUUAUUACUUAUGACUUGAGACAGCUAAAGACGUACGAGGCCAGCUAGGUAACGCAUGACCUCAAACUAGGAGCGGUAGUGUUCGCCCUAGAGGUCUAGAGGCACCAUCCCUACGAAACGAAGCAUACAAUCUUCACCGAUCAUAAGAACCUAGAAGGCACAGACGGCGGGGCAUGUUAUCCUAUGAAUUGGAUCUGGACACCGAGGUUGAUGGAUUUAGAAAUAAUAUCACGAAUGAAGCACACAAAAACUCGCUACUCCCUUCAUCCAGGCUCGGACAAGAUGUGUCUGGACCUCAAAAAGUAACAUCAGUGGAUGAAUAGGAAAGCUGACAUCGCUACACAUGCGGGCAAGUAUUGGACUUGUGCCAACGUCAAGGUAGAAUAAAGGAAGCCUUCGCGUCUCCUACAACAACCAGUGAUACCUGAAAGGAAGUGGGAGCAGCAAACCGUGGGCUUCAUAACCAAGCUACCCAAGACAAUAGAUGGUCUCGAUACCAUUUGGGUAACCGUCCGCAGACUGGACAAAUCCUCACACUCCUACUAAUCAAAGAAACCGACAGGAUGGAGGAAUCGACUAGAACUUACAUCAAAGAGAUUAUGCGACCGCAGGGUCUGUUAAUAUCUGUUAUCUUUGACAGAGAUAGUAGGUUCAUUUAGCUAUUCCAAUGAGAAAUCAUCAAUGGAAAAGUUUGUAUAUCUAGAUUUCAUUAACCUAAAACUACGUUAAGUAAUCAAAGAGAUUAUGCGACAUGAUAUUAACAGACCCUGCAGUCGCUAUUCCAAUGAGAAAUCAUCAAUGGAAAAGUUCGUAUAUCUAGAUUUCAUUAACCUAAAACUACGUUAAGUACUGAACCAAACCAAUAAAACAAUGUUGCGUACUCAUCGGGAGUGUGUAAGAUUCUUAAACAUGGCUUAAUGGGGUUUACGGACCUUGCGUUGCGAAGCCGGACACUCACAAAUGUCACACACGAAACCUCUCUCAAUCGUUUUCACUCUAUGUCUCUCUAUUUAGAAUCUCUCCCAAAUCUCUCUUUGUAUGAUAAAUCUCUACAAGAAUGUGAAAUCUCUCCCAAAUCUCUCUCUAUAUGACAAAUCUCUCCAAGAAUGUGAAAUCUCUCCCAAAUCUCUCUCUAUAUGAGAAAUCUCUCCAAGAAUGUGACAUCUCUCCCAAAUCUCUCCAAGUAUGUGAAAUCUCUCCCAAAUCUCUUUGUAUGAGAAAUCUCUCCAAGAAUGUCAAAUCUCUCCCAAAUCUCUCCAAGUAUGUGAAAUCUCUCCAAAAUCUCUCUCAGUAUAAGAAAUCUCUCCAAGAAUGUCAAAUCUCUCCCAAAUCUCUCCAAGUAUGUGAAAUCUCUCCCAAAUCUCUCUCAAAAUCUCUCUCAACUUUUCGUAAUCAUUUGGGGCAUCUCGACCCUCAAAUUUGAUGAAAACAGCUCGAAAACGGAAGUCUACGCGAAAAACAGCCUUAAGGAGCCGAAACUCCUCUUAGGAGCCGAACCUCUUAGAGCCGAACCUCCUGAGAACCGAAACCCUCUCAACCGAAAUGGACCGAGCACUCGGUCUAUUUCGGUCCCCUGAUCAUUUCGAAUCGAGACUCUACCCUUCCCACCUUUGGCCCAAGAGGGCUUGACCUUCGGUCCGAGGACCUGACUCUCGGUCCCUUCUGAUGAGCAUGUCUGCGAGACCUCUCGGUUCCCAUGCAUUCGAGCCUCACCUUCGGUCCGAGAGGUGACCCGGGCAGCUGAACCCUCCUCUCUCGGUGUCUUCUCCUGCUCUCGGUUCUAAGCUCCUAAGGAGCCGAACCUUUGCAUCCUCGGCCCAAAUUUCGGAAUUUGGCAGUUUUUGCCCAGUUUUCAAUAUUUUUAGCGUUUUGAGCCCAUUUUUCGAGAUUUUAACGUAGGGUUUUCACCCAAACUCGUAUUUUAACAUAAUAAACCCCAAAUAUUCAUAUUUUAAUUAUAUUUUGGGGAAAUUCCUUGCCUAAGAAUAAAAUCUAGUAGGUAAGAUUUAUGGAUGGAGUGUUGACGUUGCCUUAGUGUAUGACACAAGCAACCUCCCCAUACCUUCAUAGUACAACCCCUAGUCACUAUUCACCCAUACCUAGUCAAUCAUUGUCAUUUUCCCACUCUUUUUUAGCCAUAAUGUUGAACAACAGCUAGAAAACCCUCCUCUCUCCUCACAUUACUCCAUUUUUCCACCAAGUGACAACUUCAUUUUCUCUCACUCCCUCUCUCUAAGAUUUCGAGAUUCAAGGCUUGUUUCCAAGCUUUUCUUCUACAUUUGGUAAGUAUAUUCCUCUUACACUUAGAUAUUCUACUAUCUUUCAUCGAAAUCAUAGAUUGAUUACACAAACAUCGUCAUAUUUGUGUUAGAUCUUCAAAUCUUCAAGCACCUCUCAAGUGUUCUUGAGUUGAACACUUCUUUUCUCCAUCAUCCAUCUACUGAAAUCACUCAAGGUGAGUUCAUACCCUUAUCUUUUCAUGUUUUUCUCAAGUUUUAGGGGGGGGGGGGAUACAAGUUAAAACACCAAGAACACAACUAAACUUAUUUAACAGCCUUCAUCAGAAAAGUUCAACUUCAUUCACCGACUGUUUAGGGCAACUUAACAAUUUUAGUUUUCAAAACUAUUUUAGGUGCAAGUCUUUACAGUUCUUAGCUUUAAAAUGACUACUUUCACACCUCCAUACAUUUUUUCUACAAUUUAUGGUGAUUUUUACAAAACUGCCUAUCAUUUCAAGAGCAAAUCCGGACUAGUCUGUGAUUAUGGACUUUUUCACACAUGUUGUAUACCAUUAAAAAUCAUGACCAAAUUUAUUAACAAACUAGACUCAUUCCUCAAACUCUCAGAACUUAUGGAUUCUGAUUUGGACCUUUGAUAAUUUUUCUAUAAAUUUUCUAAUAACAGAAAAGAAAAUGUUAACAACAGAAAAAUGCUAUCAAUUUCAUUUCACCUUGUAACAUGUUGAGCAAAGUGUAUAUCUUUAUGUGAAUAUAUGUUAUUGCAACUAGAUGACAUUUUUUCUUAGUAUAUAGUCAUACAUCAGAAAACAAAUGGAUUUUUACCUACAAAAGUAUGGUAAUUAAUUAGUUGUUAUAUUGCAUGUGGCUUCACUUUAGAAAAAGGUAUAUAUAUAUACAUAUCGGUAAACAAAAGGGUUUUUACCUUCACAAAUACAGUAGUUAACCAUAAUAAACAAAGUUAUAACUAUUACAUUUGAACAUUUUGAUAAACUAUAAUAGGUAUGGUUUACGUUUCUAUUAACACAACAAACACAUUUCGGAAGGUUUUAUUCCCACAGAUAAAGGUUUUACACUCACGCACACCACACAUAAACUUGUUAACUUAAAUCAUGAGACAUUCUUCUCUAUACUCCUAGAGUACCGGUUAAAAUUCCUGGUAGUUAUAACCAGAGUCUCUUGUAGGGAGAACGUGAUAGUUGUGUAUAGAUCUAUAUUGGGUUUGACACCCCACACCUUGCUGCUAGCUACAGUGGGACCUGCAGGUCUACGGUUGACAAAUGUCAUAACAGUUUUCGACGCCUGAUAAACGUCGUGGCAGGUUCAUUAAGUCGUAGUAUGGUUAUAGCGGCUCAUAUAGGGAGUUAACAACACAUAAAGUUUACGGGGAUUUUCAUAAAUCAAAAGGGGUUUUACGUCGAUUUAAAAUCACUUUUUAUAUCAAUAAUUACAGAUAUUAUUGAAUACUUUCGGUCUUGGUAUUUAAGACUACACACCAUUCAUUACGGGAUUUUUCUCAAAUUAGAAAGGGUUUUACGCCAAUUUAAAACCACUUUUAUAUCUUUAAUUAUGACAAAUACUUGUUCAUUCUCGGUCCUGGUAUUUAGGAACACAUAACUUUUAUAAGGAAAAUAUUGGAUUUUUCUUGGAAACAUACAACUCAUUACAAAGAUUGAUUUUCAAACUCUUACUAUCAAAAGCUUAUGAACUCACCAACUUAAUUGUUGACACUUUUUCAAAACUACUUGUAUUCUCAGGAAUUCAAUGAAACAGGAAAUCAACAGCGUUUUGAGGAUGGGACGAUAAAUUGUCAAACAAUUCAUUUUGUCAUCAUAAUGUAAUUGAUUUGAAUCAUGUAAACAUAUGCUUUGGUGUAACUUUUUCAAUUAUAUUUAUGAAUGGUUGUAUUUACUUUGAGCACUAUCAUACUCUUUGUUGUGAUACUAUACAUGAAGUCCGCCACCCCCGGACGUUUCCGCCAUCCUUGGUUUGGGGGUGUGCAUGUAUGCAGUAUAAGGUUUAUGCGUGUGAGUUUGUCAAGUUGGGAAGCCGAGGACCGCCACUGCCACCCCCGUGAGGUGGUGGCUGCCGCCAUGUGUCGCCUGUGUUUUCAUUUUGUUUAGUGUGUGUGUGAUUAUUUUGAGUUUUAGCAUUGUAAUGUGUAAAAUUACAAAUUGGAAUAAUGAAAGGAAAAAUCAAACCACCACCGUGAGGUGGUGGCUGCCGCCUCCUGUCGCCACCGACCGUCGUGUCAUUGGCGGUGUGCCUUAUUGGAUAGUGAAUAGUCUGGGAUGUUUGGACAAGGGACUAAAACCCUAGUGGGCCUUGUAAGCCCUAAUGGGCCCAAUGAAUCUUAAUGGACCUAAAAUCCCAAUCAUGUGACGAAUGGGCUUAGUGAAACCCUAAAGGGCCUAGUGGAAUCAUAAUGAGCCUAAUGAACCUUAAUUGAUCAAAAGACAUAUCAAUUAAACCUAUUGGGCUAAGAUGGGGUUGGAAACCCUAAUUAGGGUUUAGAAAACCCUAAUAUUGGAUUUAUGGGCUUGGACUUAUUGGGACCCACUUUUGGGCCAUUGGAAUGGAAUUAUGUGAUUAAGCCCAAUCACACCAUAUGAAUUAUUUAGAAGAAUGAUGGACUUAAUCGAUUAAGUCCUUAAUGGAUUAAGUCUUUAACGGGUUAAGUGAGAAACACUUAACCCUAAUCGUCAUUUUAUGUGGAAACCCUAAUAUCAGUUAGGUUUUACUGUCGGCCCUUUCUAUUGGGCCUUGAUGAUUAGGUUAUUAAUGGCCCAUCCAAAGUCAAUUAAUUGGACUAGAAUAAUUAAUGGGCUUUGAGGUAAGGCCCAUAUGAGGAGUUGGGCCCAAUUUAGAAAAUUGGGCCAUAGACGGACCACAGUUUGGGCCUUAAUGAUUAUAUGAUGUCGGGCCUUAGAAUAAGACCAUGUAUAGGUCUGGGCCAAAUUUGGAAAAUUGGGCCAUAUGUUGGGCUUUGGCCUGUUAUUUGAUUAUUGGGCUUUUGGAGUGUGAGUUGGACCUUGGGCUUGGAACCCAAUUAUUAAUUGGGUGUUGUUUGAUGUUGACAGCUCGGGAAUCUGUCAACCAGCAGCUGGAGUUUUAUAUGGGGGAGUUCAGAAAUGUCAGGUGAGUUAUCCUAACUAUACUCAAGGGUCUAAGGCACCAAGGCCGACCCUUUGAAUUGUUAUUGGUUGUGUUAUGCUAGUAUGAUCACUAGAUCGGUAUCCUAGAGGGUAGGAUGAUAAUAUGUGAUAUGUGGUAUGACCUGUUAGUUAGACAUCCUAGACGGUAGGAUAAUAUUGUAUGUUAUGUGGUAUGAUCUGGUAGACCAGUUUGUUAUCUAUAGACUGUUAUGUGAUUGUCUGUUAUACGUGCACAUGUUUGUUUGGCGGUUGAGGCUUAUCUGCUUUGUGCGAAAGCCAAUAGACCUGGGCAUUCCAACCUGUUGGUUGUGGGCCGUGAGUAUUCCAUCCCUAGGAUGAUUGGACUCAUAGUAUGUGGGCAUUCCAACCUGUUGGAUGUGGUCCUGGGGUAUUUCAACCUAAUGGUUGAUUGGACCCAUCGUGUGUUGGCAUUCCAACCUGUUGGUUGUGGGCCUGGGGUAUUCCAACCCAAUGGUUGAUUGGACCCAUAGUAUGUUGUUUAUGAUUAUAUGUGUAUUGUUGUGGAUAUGGGUAUUUUGGGGGAAUUCACUAAGCUUUCAGGCUUAUAGUUUCAGUUUAUUAUUUCAGGUGCAUUAGGGGAUCGUGGCAAGGCAAAGGCGUGAUCGCACAACUCCUCAUAGUUCAUGAUUUUAUGAUUUGAUUCUGGGGAUACUCUGAUGAUUAAACUAUUUUGAAAACAAAUUGUAAUAACUUAAUGGUUUUAAAUGUUCUGAAAAGUUUUAAAUUGGCUUGAAUUUUAUGGGUGUUACAGAUUGUUUAUCUAAUCAAAAGUUUUUCCUUUUUAUUUUUCAGAUGUCUGGUUCAAACAACGCUUCUGUUUCGAACUCCAACAACUCCUCAAGCUCUUUUUCUCUUAUGAACAUUUGCACUUGGAUCACCUUCGAUGGAUCCAAUUUCAAUGAUUGGAUUCGUAACAUUUGAAUGGCCUUGCGAUACGAGGAGAAAGAAUACCUCCUCGACAAAGAACUCAAAGGGAUAGAUGAAUCCAAAGCUACUCCUGAAGAAUUGGUUGAGUAUAGGGCUCAUGAAAAGGACACAACAAAGGUGUCGUGUAUUAUGGUGACCACUGUGACUCCUGAGCUACAAUGGUUAUAUGAGGACUACUGUCCUUGCGAUAUGUGCCAAGACUUGAUGGAAAAGUACCAUCAAAGUGCGCGUCAAGAAAGGUACGAUAUUUUUACCUCAUUCAUAACAAACAAAAUGAGGGAUGGAGAGUCCAUCAUGACCCACUUGCAAAGAAUGCAAAGGUAUGUGGAUCGUUUGCUCAAGUUAAAUGUCAACUUUGAUGAAGAGUUGGCUAUUGAUAUAGUUCUACACUCUUUACCUCUUUUCUAUGACCAGUUCAAGAUGACUUAUCAUAUGAGCAAAGAGGAUGUCACUUUGAGCAAACUUCAAGGUUUGUUGAGAACUGCUGAAAGUGGAUUGAAAGGCAAAGGUGUUGAGCCCACUCCUACAGUUGCUGCCCCUGUCCUGGCUAUUGGACAUGGAAAAGGGAAAAAGAGGAAAGCUCCCUCUAAGAACCACAAGGGAAAGUCCCAUGAUGGAUCUUCUUCAAAUGGAUCCAAAGGUAAAACUGUUUCUGCCACUCCCUCUUCCGAUCCUAAAAAAAGCAAUGUGUUUCUACUAUAAUGAAAAGGGGCAUUGGAAAUGAAGUUUCCUGAAAUACUUGCAGGACAUCAAGGAUGGGAAGAUAAAGCCCUCCUUCACAGGUAUUUAUACUAUUCUAUCUAACUACUCAUCGUAUUCUAGUUCUUGGGUCCUUGAUACAUGAUGUGGUUUUCACAUUUGUUCUGAUUUGCAGGGGCUAAAAAGAAGUAGGGAUGUGGAGCAUCGGAAGAUGAACCUAAUAAUGGGGAAUAGGAACAUCGCCUGUCACCAAGAUCGGGGUUUACUCUUUAGUGCUUAGAAGUGGGUUCAGAUUAGAUUUGAACGCUUGUUGCUACUCAUCAGAAAUGACAAGCAAUAUUAUUUCUUUUCAUGGUUUGUAUAGACAAUGCUUUAGAUUUUCAUUUAAUAAUGAAGUUGGUUCUAUUAAUGUUUAUUAUAAUGGUUUAUUUUAUUUUGAAGCAUUGCCUUGUAAUGGUGUAUAUGAAACUGUGAUAGUUUUUGAUAACUUAGGAAAUAAUGUGUUGCAUAUCGAUUCGUCUAAUGGUAUAGACAAGGCAUGCUUGUGGCAUUGUCGUCUUGGAAAUGUCAACAAGAAGUGCAUAGCCCAACUCCAAAAGGAUGGAGCGUUGGAGUCAUUUGACCUAAAAUCAGAUGACACGUAUGAAUCUUGUUUUCUUGGAAAGAUGACUAAAUCACCAUUCACUUGCACUUGUGAAAGAGGUGAUGGAUUGUUGGAUCUCAUACAAGCAAAUGUGUGUGGGCCCUUCAGAUCCACCACAAGGGAUGCUAACUGCAUCUAUGUGACUUUUACCAUCGAUUAUAGCAGAUAUGGAUAUAUCUACUUAAUCAAGCAUAGUUCGGAAACCUUUGAAAACUUCAAAGAGUAUAAGAAAGAAGUGGACAAUCAAUUGGGCUGGAAGAUAAAGAUGCUCAGAUCCGAUAGGGUUGGUGAGUAUCUUAGUAUCGAUUUCCACGACUAUCUUAAGGAAUGUGGAAUUGUUUCACAAUUGACGCCACAUAGGACACCACAGCUUAAUGGUGCGGCUGAGAGGCACAAUCGAACAUUGUUAGACAUGGUUCGUUUGAUGAUGAGUCGCGCUUCACUACCAAUCUCAUUCUAUGGGUAUUCCUUAGAGACUGUCGCUCAUAUCCUUAAUCUAGUCCCAACUAAGAAGGUUGCCAAAACACCUCUCGAGAUGUGGACAGGGAAGGUUCCCUCGUUGACACAUAUCAAGGUUUGGGGUUGUGAAGUUUUUAAAAGACGAGAGACUCAUGACAAGAUUAAACCCUGUAGUGAGUGAUGUAUUUUCGUCGGUUACCCAUAGAAAUCCUUUGGAUAUCGUUUCUACAGACCUAGUGAUAACAUGGUCUUUGUAGCAAGGAGAUGGGUUUUCCGUGAGAGGGAACUUAUAUGCCAAGAGGACAGUGGGAGGAAAAUUGAUCUUGAAGAGAUUCAAGACACAAGUGGUGAAGGAACCUCUAACACUAGCACUCAACCUGAGGAAAAGAUUCUUGUUGAACCGAUUGACGAGUCAUUACCUCUUUGACGUUCCACUCAAGUUAGAAUGGAAUUGGAGUUUUAUGGUUUUCAUAUUACUACGGAAGGUGAUACGUUUAUCAGUGAUAAUACACUAGUAAAUUUGGAUGAGCCUACAAACUACAACGAAGCCAUGACAGACCCUGAGUCUGCAAAAUGGAAAGAGGCAAUGGACAGUGAGAUCCAGUCCAUGUAUGACAAUCAAGUUUGGAACUUGGUUGACAAUGUACCAGGUUGAAAGACAGUUGGAUGCAAAUGGAUCUUCAAGAAAAAGACCGACGUGGAUGGAAAGAUACAUACGUUCAAGGCACGACUAGUUGCGAAGGGCUUUACUCAAACCCCAAGGGUUGACUAUGAUGAGAUCUUCUCACUUGUAACGCCUGUGUUUCCGGGCUUGCCACUUUUAGCAAUGUAAUAGUCUAGGUUAACCUUUGUAACCCGUUUUGAAAUAAUGAGAUUUUAUUAUUUGAGUAUUAUGUGUUUUGUGCUUAAUUGCUUAAUUAUAUGGUUUGAUUAAUUAAGAAUAAAAACAAGCGUCAAAAUUUAAGUGUAAAAUAAAGUUAAUAUAUUUGGUUAAUGUUGUAGUAAUUGAAACGAGGUUUCCGAAUAUAUAUAGAACGCCCAAAUCUGACUUCGUAUGAGGAAGUUAUGAUUUAUCGAAGUUCCGGCUUAGCGGUAUACAGCCUGUUUUACUCGAUUUGAGAUCGAGCGGUUGUUAGCCGAAGCAAUCUAAAUGAGAAUCGAAGAUCUCAUUGUUGGUAUCGAAACGAUAAAAAGUUAGGCGAGAACGGACGUCAAACGAAGAAGUUAUGAAUUUAUAACGAAAGUUUCUGUCCCGGCCUAUUAAAAAUAAUUAAUAAAAAUAAAGUCAAAAUUAGCCGACGGAGUCUAAACGAAAGUCGUAGAGCGUGGUCUCACCUUUCCGUGGAUAUAAAGAACGUCGAAAACGGAGUUCGUAUGAAGAAGUUAUGAAUUUCCGAAGUUUAGUAAUCAUUUUGUAAUUAAAUUUAAAUCAAAAUCGGAAGUCUUAUCCGAAGACGAGUCACCGGUGUGAUCCGGAGUACGCCCCGCAUACGAGGGUACGCUACCGCGUGCUCAGCAUAGUGUCGACACUUCGUAUGACGCAUGCAGUGACGAUUUCGGAAGCAGUACGCGCUGCGUACUGCAGUACGCCCCGCGUACUCCGUGGCUCCAGCCUCUAUAAAAGGGAUCUGAGGGCAGCCGAGAGUUUGUUCAUUUCUUCUCUUCUCUCAAGUCUUUUUCAUCGUUUUGCGUGCCAGAAAUACCCCGAAGCCCCGGUAUUAUACUCUAGCCCCGAGGCAAGUCCCGAGAUCCCGAAGAUCCCGAGAAGUGCGGUUCCCGAGUCGAAGCUCUGCCCGCGAGAAGUUCGAUUUUCGAGGAGAUCUUCCAGAUCUGCUGAGGAAUACUACUUCUAUAAGCCGUAGUGCUGUCGGAUCAUCUUCUGAUCAAGUGAGUGUGUAGUUAUUUUCUUUCUAAUACAAUAAUACGAAGUAUUUUAUAUAAAAAUACGUGCUAUGUGUAUAUAUUUGGUUGUGUUAUGUGUGAAUGAGUAUUCACUCUCUUCUAUCUUAUAGAUCUGCUUAUUUCUUUAUGAGAUAUGUGUUAUGUGUGUGUGUGCCUCAUCUGUUAUGUGAUAUAUGUGUUGAUUAAAGCAUGCUAUACAGGUUUUCUUUAAACUAUGUAUACAAAUGUAUAUUUUUAUCUACUAAUAUGUUGGGUAGAACAUGGGUAGACAGUUGGUGUGUAAUAAACAGAUGAGAGGCCUCGUUGUUGUUUGAUUGAGUCAUCUAGCGGAGUUUAGAUGACGACCACUGGCUAUUCUAGACAGUCUUGUGGAAACAUUAGCAGGUUCGCCACCUGUAGGUGUUAAUGAACUUGGGUGUUCAUUCGCUGUACUCCAUCCCCCUCAUGGUUGCCUUAUUUGACUUAUAUUGCUGAGGUACCCCCGAAGCAUGUGUUGUCGCCCCGAUGAAAUAUUCUUAGACUAGGUCCCUUAUGUUAGUUGUUUUAGGGACAUUAAAGUGAGAAUAACGGGAAUGGGUAAUUGGGUUAUUGUUGGUUGGUGAAAAUUAAAUAUGAUAUUUAUUGUGGGUUGAAAACCCUAUAUGCUCACCAGGCUCCCAAGCCUGACCCACUCAGUUUUAAAUUGUAUUACAGGUAGUGGCGGAAGGGCAUGAGAUGGAUGAACCAUCAAGUUGUUUUGUUUACAAGUCUGCAUAUGUUUAUAUUUGUUAUAUGACUUGUAAUGUAUUCGUUUAUGCUUAUUGGUCUGUAUCGGAACAUGACACCCCGAGUUUUGAUUAUAAUGAAAAUACAUUUCUUUUAUGAAAUGCUUCGGUAAACAAUGUUUUAUCAUGUUUUGUUUUUGGGAACAAAUUCCGCAACUCUUUCAAAUCAAAAGGAUUUACUCUGAAAAUAUUUAAAAGCAUAAAUGAAAAUCGGUCUUUUCUGGCCGAGAUUUUGGGGAUGUCACAGUUGGUAUCAGAGCAUUAGUUUAAGCGAACUAGGAAUUUGUAGGAUUUCUAGACUUAAACUUAGAAUGCUAAGUGAAGUUUUGAGAUGUGUGUCUGUUGUGAUUUAGACACGAGCACUAGUUUAUUUUAGGAAAGUUGCCUAAAAUGCUUUAUGUGCUAAAUGUUAUAUGUUGCCAUAUAUGAUAUUAUUUGUUCGGAUCUAUGGUCUGUUGCCGACCGGAUCUAGAAACCUUAUGUGUGUAGGAUUCUAAGCGUACGUCUACGAUAUUAGAACUAGCAUGUAAACGUUUCGGAGUGAUAAGGAUGAUUUGAAUAUCUAUCAUGAUUGAGGAUCUAAUUUCACCUUAUUCGGUGUAGAUCAAAAUGGUGAGAACAAGAAGUGGAGUUGGAAAUGCUGACGAAAACAGGAAUCAACCACCAGUGAUUGAGCCAAUACCUGUCGUAGCAGCAGCACCUGAGCCAAUAACCAUGGCUGGUGUGCAAUUGAUGAUUCAGACGAUGUUGGAUCGUCAGAUGGAUGAAACUAGACGGUUGCUUCAACAAAAUCGUGAAGAACUGUCGAUUCGUGUGGAAGAGCCUGAACUGAAUGAAGGGCACUCGGAAGGUGGAAACUUCAGUGGGUCUGUUGGUCCAGCCAACCCACCGAUAGUUAGGCAAGAUAACCAUGAUGGAAGGAAUGAUGGAAUGGGAUGCAAGUACAAGGACUUUUUGACUUGUAAACCAUCGACCUUCAAUGGAAAGGAGGAUCCGAUUGGGGUUAUGGAUUGGAUCUCCGAAAUGGAGUUAGCCUUUAUGACAUGUGGCUGUAGAGGCAAGUUGCAGACUAUCUAUGCCGUGCGACAAUUCCGAGGUGGAGCCGUUCGUUGGUGGAACACUCUAGGGAAGACCUUAAGCCCUAAUGAGCCACUGCAAUUGUCAUGGGCAGAGUUCUUGGUGCAGUUCAAGCGCAAGUUCUGCUCGGCUCAAAAUCUGUUGGAGUUGGAGAACAAGUUUUUGACAUUGACGAAGGGUAGCAUGUCAGUGGAUGAGUACACCAAUAACUUCACCGAUAAGAUGGAGUUUGCCUUGCGUAUCGUUCCAGACGAGCUGACAAAGGUGGAUCGGUAUGCGAAGGGACUUCCAUGGGAGUACGAGGUGCCGGUACGUCAGGCACUUACUCUAGAGGCAGCUAUCUGGGCUGCCAAGUCUGUGGAGAACAUGAUCAAGGGGAGAACCACCGUCAAGGUUGAGGUUGGUGAGAAAAGGAAGUUUGAAGGAACAUCUGGUUCCAGUAAGAAGAGCAAAUUUUCGAAAUCUGAUUCGAAAAAGUUUGGAGGAAAAGGAGGCGAAGCAAAGUGGUGUGAUAAGUGUAAGAAAAAGCACUUUGGGAAAUGUAGCGAGGAUGUGACCUGCUACAAGUGUGGAAAGGUUGGACAUUUUGCCAAUGAAUGUCCGAACAACAAAAGGAUGUGUUUUGGGUGUAAUGAAGAGGGGCAUAUUUUGAAAGACUGUCCGAAGAAGAAGGAGGCAGCUAGGCCCAACAUUCCACCAAAGCCGAAGGCGAGAGCCUUCCAGAUGACACUUGAGGCUGCGAAAGAUGAAGCUGAUGUCGCUUCAGGUACCUUUCUCGUAAACGAAUUACCUGCUCAUAUAUUGUUUGAUUCUGGAGCCAACUACUCCUUUAUUUCGCAUGAGUUUGGUAGAAAGCUAGCUUUGCCUGUUGAUAGACUAGAUAAUGCUUUAUUAGUCGAAGUAGCUAGUGGCAAGUUUGUACCUGUUAGCCAUCGUAUGAAAAACGUCUUGAUCGACCUUAAUGGGAAUAAGUUUCUCGAGGAAUUAUUGCCUAUCGAACUAAAUGGUUUCGACAUCGU